rnacentral:lncRNA from 1 species
UUUUUUUUUUUUUUUUUUGAAGUCAUUCAGAGAUCAUAUAUGAAUGUAAAUUGUUGCAGUCAUUGAGCAGUAAAGAGAAUUAUCAAGAUCAGGUAAAAUGCAAUGGCAAUGAACAAGCUUAUGGUCAGAACUCAGAAACUUCGAGAAAUUUAAAUGUCUUGAGCAGUAAUCCUGAUCUAGGGAAAGCAUGAGACUCAUAAAACUUGAAACUUCUGAACCCAACUAGCCAGAAAAUCUGAAGAGUGAAAGGAACAACAGGAGUCUGACUACAAAACUGGUCUGGAGAAAUUUUCUAUUCAGUAGUGACCACAUGAAAAUGUCCACUUUCCUAACCAGCAAGUAAUUUCCAGUAUGAGAGGAAGUGAAUGGAGAUAUAGUGAUAUACUCAUCUCAGAUAAUUGUAUCUGCUACCUAGUAACUCUACCUCUGGAAAAUGUAGGAUUCAACCCUACAAGUGAAUGGGAAAUGUAGGAUUCAACCCACUAUCUAAUGAAUAUGUGAACUGUUGAGACUUUUAUGAUUAUAUCAGUUGCAUUUUCAUUAUCAUAUAGAAAGAUAGUGGUAUCAGAUUAUCAAUAAAACCAACAAAGCUUUAAUCCUCCAACCAAUAUUAAAUUAUUCUUAGCAUCACACCAACAAGCUAUCCACUUGAAAAAUAAAACUUACUCUUGAAGGUGAUGCUGGGGGUAGCUCGAGUGCUAGCCUUGAAGACUUUGGCGGUGUCACCUGCAUAGGUCAGUUGUAACCAGUGAGAUGCAAAUAAGCAAAUCAACAAAAUCAGAGGGGAAAAACAAAAUUUCUAAAUGCAUACAUCAUACAAGCAAACACACAUAAUACAUACAUGCCAAAUCACACCAACAGCCAUACUAAAAGACCAAAAAUAGACUAUGUGCAUAGACUGGAUAACAAUCUUUACCAAAGAUGAGGGCGAGGCUGGUGGUGGUUCAAGAGAUCGCCCGGAAGAGUUGGACGAUGAUGCCUACACAUAAUAGAAAUAGAAUUAACAUGGUGCCAAAUAUAAUAUUCAAAAGCAUGUUAUUAAUUACAUAAAGUUACAGAAUAAUACACGCAGUGAAAAUAUGAACAUAAGCAAUAAUAUGUUAGUCAGAUGAUCAUGCUGUAUGUAAUUGAUUUUGUUAUACAAAGCAGUGAAAUCGAUCGUUAGACCAAAAAGAACCAAAAACUCUAUGAACUAAGACAUAAGAAAUGAUUGCCAGUAGUGUUUACAGCAAAAGUUCAAUACAUGCCUGAAUACGUUCUGUGGUUCUGCUAUUUUGAGUAUUUUCCAAUCUCUUGGCAUAGUCACACAACUUCCACACUCCGUCAUUAGUUGAAUCCUAGAGAUAAAACGCCACAACAAUUAGAAUGAAACUCCUACCUCAUAAGUAUACAAAUCAUUUGCCAAAAGUAUUUGUAUCUUGUGGUCAGUAAUACUACAAUACCUGCUUGCCUUCUAUUCUGUUAAUCUUAGUUUCCUGCGACCAAAAUAAAAAAAAAUAAAAAUCAGACUUUGACUUUGUAUGUGGAUCCACUUGUAAGAGGACAAGAAGAAAUAAGAUAAAUAAAUUACCAGAGUAAGCACUGCAUGUUGAACUUCUCUAAAAUUUGUGCUGAUGGAAUCUGUUUUUCCUUGUAGUUCAAUAACCUGCAAAUGGCUUUUAAAAGGUUAACUUAAAAACCAGAACAAUAAGAGAGAAAAUUGAGUAGUUCAUAAUUAAUCAUAAGUAUCUGAGAGGGCCCACCUCCUGUUGUGUCCUAACAGUUGUUUCAAUGCACUCAUCUAAAUUACGGUCCACACCAUCCAAAUUCGAAGAUAAUUGUCGCCUGGUGACCUGAAAGCAAGCAAUCACCAGAAUAGAAAGUUAUUCAUGCACUAAUAUCCUGGGAAAACGUGUCCAUAAAUUUGAAGGGAUUUCCGAAAUUCCCUCGGGAACAACAGAAAUUGAAAUUCUGAUAUUUCGACAAUAAAAAAUAAAUUGCAUAAAUAGAACCAGUGACCAAAGUUAACAGAAUAUUGAGCACCUACAUACUAUGGUCUUUAAGGGCAGUGAAUUAAACCAUCAUCUAAUCAACAUGAUCUAAUAAAGAAGUUUCAGUUCUGAUUUCCAAAACCCCAAAAAAAAAAACUUACUGAAAUUGAUGAAAAGACACCGUCAAUCUGUUUAGAAAAAGACUUCCCAGCAUCAGCUAAGCUACGUCUGGUUGCAAACAUCAUAUCAGGAAGUUUCCACCCCUGAAAAUACAUAAAUGUUACAAGUCAUCCAAUCCGUUAUUUUCUUUGAUCAUAAUGAAAUAAUGAGUUUAUUAUUAUUUUGCUGAAACCACUCAUCAAUAAAUAACUAAUGUUAAUUAAUGAGCACGCAGAACUAAGUGCAACACACAUGUUGCAGUAAUUUGUUUGUUGGUAUAUGCUAAAGCUUUAGCUAGCAAAUGAAAAACGAUUAUAUCAUAAUAAGUAUAGCUUCGAGGACCACACAUGUCAUCAGCUGCUUAGAUUGUAGACCACUACAAAUUGAAAAAGGAAAGAACUUUCAAGUUGAAGCCAGUGUCCUGACUAGUAUUUUUUUUAAGAUCUUAUCAAGACUGAGGGAAAACAUAUCUAGUGUUCUAUGUUAAUGGCUUUGAACCUUCACUAAUAUAAGAGCAUAACCAAUCAUCUCUAAAGUAUAUGGGUUGAAUUUCAAACUGCCAAUGGAUAAAUAAGAUGUAAUGUUUUAUAACGUAGCCAGGACAGAUAAAACAUCACAUGAUAUAAACAGAAAAAGAAAAGAGAAAGAAACUAAUAUAAAAGUUUCAAAGACCCUAAAAGACUCAGAAGGGUAACUUGGACUAUGGAAUAUAAAAUAUUGGUAUUACAACAUGGAUGUAUAUUUGUCUCUUUAUUUCCCCAAAAAUGAGCCACAGAAAAAUCAUGCAUAUCUGUAUAGUUAAUCGAAAUGCACAAAACAAAGCUCUUACCUUCCACCAAAAGUAGCCAUAUCCUGCCACUACUGCAACAAUAAUUAAACAAUAUCUGCUAGCACCUGCACUAACAAAACAUAAAGAGUCAAAGAGUACCCAUAAACUACUAGACAUUUAAACACAAAUCAUAAAAUCAAGAGCCCAGAAAUCUUGAAAAGGCUAGAGAAGUAAACCAAACCUGUUCGACUGCAUGUUACUAUUGUAAUUGGUCCAGUUGACGAAUAUGACUGCAGCUCCUGCCGUAUUUUGUUCAUCUGUACAAUUUGAAUAAUCUAGUCUCAUUACACCAUCCUCCAUAAUAUUAAUGUCUAUACUGUUUCAUAUGAAUUCACAAUGACUGACUAAACAAUUCAUUUAGAAGUUAGAACUGCUCCGUGUGCAUAGAAAGAAAUGCAUCCCUUGCUCUAAUACUUAACUACAUUUCAAACAACUUUACACAAUAAAAAUUCUAUAAAAAGAAACCUGAGCCAUCAAAGCAUCAUUGGAUGGUUUCUUAACCGAGGGAGCUUUAGUUUUAUCAUCUCGUAUUUGCUUCCAAGCAAUCUGUCAUAAAAGACCAAAUAUCAUAAUCAGCAUGGUACAGUAUAAGUAUAUAAUACAUAUUAGUCCAAAGAAGCGCAAAGUGAACAAUAAUACUAAAGAGUCUCUAAGACGAUAGUCUUUCUUUAAUAAAACUAUUUUAAACAUAUAGACAGACUACCAAACUAUGUAUUUCGUACAAAGAUCACAAAGGUCAUGGAUUUUCCACGUAUCGUGAGCAUUACACAUAAACCCAUCAGGUGAAUUGGACGUCUGGACCUUUACCCUCCUUUUAUAAUUCAUUCUUAUUCCUAGGAUAUAAAGUCACCAACUAACAAAAAGGCCACAACAUAUAAUUCCAAAAAGAGCAACUUUGAAACAAAAUCCAAAACAUAUCUCAUAUGAAACAGGACAUAGCAGGUGAGUAGUCCCCAGCAGUGCAGGAAAAAACUUAGAAAGCUAUGAAAAAACCUUAAGCGCUAUUAAUUUCUAAGAACUGGUAGGUAAUUCAGUUUGAUGACUACCUUAAAUGCACCAGACACCACAUCAGAUAUGCGUCCUUCCUGAGCAAGGUAUGAACCAAGAAUGCCUACAAACCAAAGCACACAUCGAUUAAAAAACAUGUCUGUUCAUCCCUGACAACAAAACCAUCACACACGAAAACCAAAUUGAAAAGAACCCUUUACACAAAAGCAAUAGCUAGAAUGCAGAUGGGACUGCACAUAAAGCUUCCGCGUUAAUUUAGAAAGACUCACUUCCAAACGAUCUUAACUCACAAACGAUUUCCUUCCGCGUCUAUAUCAACCAAUGUUCAUUCGUUUCAACAAUCAGAAGCUAACUAGAUUUACUUAUAAAUACACAAUUCAAUCUUGGAGCUAUUGUGAUAGGACAUAUGGGAGAGUGUACAGCUCCAACUACUCAAUACUCCCCAAACAAUGCACAUUCAAUGCGAAAACCAGCCGAACCAUACUGCAUACGAUAACCAAAACAGCAGCCUAGCCCUCCAUUCGCAGUUCGAAACUCCAAUUCCCACUCACAUAGCAGAUAUCACUAUCAGAACACCUAAAAGCCUAUCUCCUCCUAACAACAAAAUUACAGUUCCGUAUAACGAGAGUUCAUCCGAAACCCUAACUCUUCUCCGGCGGUGCUCAACCCAAAGCUGAAUCAAAACACUAGAUAGCUAAUCCGGACGGGACUAAUUUACGACGGGAUUGAAGCUUAUGAUAAAUUAUAACGCUUUGAAGUCUAAAUUGAGAGAGUGAUCGGAAGUAGGAGGAUUGUACAGACCUGCACCGACGAGAACCCCGACCUUGACGAGAGGCAGAGCCAUGGAUUCCGGUAAUCGAUUUUCAGGGACUGAGUUUUUAUAGGUAGAGCAAUCGGAGAUACGGCAUCGAAGCCGAUCGCGGCGGCGUCAGCGGAGGUGAAUUGCCGGAAAAGAAUCGAUGGUUUUGUGUGUCUCCGAGGGUCUGUGUGUAUAAGCUGAAGGGGGACUGAGAAGGAAGGACUCUGGGUUUCUGUAGCAAAGGCGUGACAAACCCUAUUUUCCUACUGUGCAAGUAAAGGGGGUGGUUGGUGCGCAAGUUACGUAAAUGCCCUUUUAAAUUUCAAGGAGACUACAAAUACGAAUUCCAAGUAUACAGUAGUAUUUGAUUUGAAUUUUCGUUUUUAUAUGUGUUGGGCAUAUACUAAAAUAACUUGGAAAGUAAGAUCAAUGCUGAUUUUCUUAUUGUAUAUAAUGAAUAGUAGAUUAAGAUUGGGACUUAGUAUAUGAUUGAUUCGUUUUGAGAGCUAAGUAAAAUGACCAAAAUCAAAAAAUUUGGGAUCUUGAAUUUACAUGAAAAGAUCGAAAUAAGAAUAUAAGUCUUGAUAACGAUAAGUAUCAAGUUCCUGUGUUUCAUAGGAAUUUGAUUCUGUUAUUUAGGGCAAGUGGUUGCAUCCUUAUGCCUUCAUAAACUUAUCAUAUUUGUCUAGCUAGCUAAUCUCUCGCGUAAUAAUAUAAAUAAUUUACAUUGUACGUUCAAGCUCGAUUUUGAAACCUAGCUAGAUUUUAUGUAAGCGUCACUCUCUCAUAUUUUACAUGUUCAUGUUUUUGAGUUAUAGAUUAUGUCUGUUAUAAGCUAAUUGGAAUCUUGGUUAAGUUUUACAAUAGGACUUAAAACCUAAUUUCGAGUCGUGAAUUAUAAAAAUCCUUAUAGUAUGCGCCCAAUAUAACUGAAACUUUCAUCUCACACGUUUUAAGCAAACUUUGAUUCGAUCUUGAAGCAAGAUCCAGCUCCACCGUACUAGAUAGCUAUGAUAUCCAAGAAGUGACUUUUUACAAAGUGAUGAACAUAUAUAUGGAGCUAGCUAGAAUUCUAGAUCGUACUGCAUGCUACUCUGCUAGCAUUCAUCGUCUGAGGAUCGACGCCUCCAAAGGUUGAUGAUCCAUUGCAUAUAUUCUAUUCGUCCCCCUUGAACUUUUACCUAUUUCGCUGUGAUGCUCACAUAUCUUGAUAAAUAUUGGCUUUGUAGUAGAAAUGAUAAUAUCAAUAUCAAUGGGUAAUGCGCCGUAAAGGUUUCUCUCAAUAUUUAUCAUAGAAAAGAAUUGUGAGGGAAAAUGGAACACGUUUAACAUAUAUUAUUCGAUAUGCGUUCAAAGCAUGGCCGCCAAGGAUGGUGGUCCCCCGCCGGCUCUUUCAUUUUCUGUCAAUUUUCUCCUACUACAUAUAUAUAUAUAUAUAUAUAUAUAUAUAUAUAUAUAUAUAUAUAUGCAUCAUGUAUUUACAUACAUAUGCAUGCAUCGACCUGUGCUGUUAUGGAUAUACAGAGAGGAUGAGAAGCGGACCGUCCGCACUCGGCUUAAAGUGCGGACUUUAUCCGUUCUCCGCAGUCUCACGCUGGCGACGGUUUCUCUUCUUCCCGGACGACAGCACAGGCUUCCAGGACGGUUUCUCUCCUUCCAGGAUUGGCCGGCAACAAGUUUUCCGACCGGAUUGAAGCUCUGGACGGAAAACACCAUGAUUGAUCAAGGUUGGCCGGAAAACUUGUCACCGGUCAGUUCUGGAAGGAGAGAAGCCGUCCUGGAAGCCUGUGCUGUCGUCCGGGAAGGAGAGAAGCCGUCGCUAGCUUGAGACGACGGAGAACAGACGAGGUCCGCACUUUAAGCCGGAGUGCGGACGUCCGCUCCACAUCCGGCCUUUAUGGAUAUAUAUGUUCAUCAUAUAUAUACACGGGUAUACGUACGUUAAGGUAUUGUUUGGUCAUUGCUGGAAAAAACCUUAUGUUUUCAUUGACGAAACAAGUAUUGGAAUGGAAAUUAGUAUCGAAUUUGUAAGGUAAAAAGGAACAAAAAAAUGAAGAUCGAAGUUAGAUGGUAAAGGCAUUCUGUCUUCUAGCUUCUUCUUCUUUUUGUUGUUGUUGUUGGAGUUACUCUUGAGUGGAUUGAUUUUUGUAACUUAGGUAGUUAGGUUAAUUAAUAACCCUCCAACGUCUGGGUACGUUAACCUAGCUUAGAUCUGUGAUCGAUCGACGUCAAGGCUAGGGUUUAGGAUUUGAUGGCUCAAAACAAUGUCCUGCAAAUACAGUUUCAUAGUACAUGACUACUACUACUACAUGUGUAUCUUACAUCAACUUUGUUCUUUUCACAGGGAUCUCCAUCUCCUUUGAGAUCAUCGCCGUUUGGCAAACCCUUGUUAUUACUAGCUAGCUGAUUAUGAAUUCGGAGGCAUCAAUUAUCAAACUCCAGAUGUUUGAUGUGUUUACGUACCUUUUUCCAACCCGCUCUCAUAUUUGAAUUUCGCAUGCUUGAUCAAAUGAUCAAUAGAUAUUCACUCUGCUGUCAGAUCUGGCAUGGACCUCUGGUGUCAAUGCGAGAGAUCUUCAAACCAAAAAUCCAUCACAGAAUGCAAGUGAGGAUACAGAAAUCCAACUGAGAACCGAUCAGAGACAUGCUUUAAAAUUAGAUCUGCUUUGAAAUACCAUCAUUUUAGUUGAUCCAUACUGACAUGAAAACCGAUAUAAGUAGCUAGUCAAUCGAGUACUGAGUAAUGUUAGGUGAACCACCUAGAGCCCACCUUAGGUGGCAGUUGAUAUGAUAUAUCCACAUCGAUCAUUAGAUAUAANNNNNNNNNNNNNNNNNNNNNNNNNNNNNNNNNNNNNNNNNNNNNNNNNNNNNNNNNNNNNNNNNNNNNNNNNNNNNNNNNNNNNNNNNNNNNNNNNNNNNNNNNNNNNNNNNNNNNNNNNNNNNNNNNNNNNNNNNNNNNNNNNNNNNNNNNNNNNNNNNNNNNNNNNNNNNNNNNNNNNNNNNNNNNNNNNNNNNNNNNNNNNNNNNNNNNNNNNNNNNAGAGAGAGAGAGAGGUCAAAUUGAUUCAUAAAAAUUGUUAUUGUCAUUCAAAAAUAGGACAUGGGAGAAGAAGAGAGCUACGAAUGAAGAGGAGGUAGAGAAGAUAGUGAGGAGGAGGUGACACCUAUGGUUGAGACUUGAGAGGACGACAGAGUAGAAAGAGUGAAGAAAACGUCCGAUGAAGAAAGUUAAAAGAUAGGAUUUAAUUAAAAAAAAUAUAGAAUUGAAAAGAUACUAAGAAAGAUUAAAAAAAGGAAAAAAAGAGGAAUUUUUGUAAUAGGAAAACAUAAAUAUACAAAUUAGAACUUGUAAUAUGAUAACAUAGAUAUGCCACAUCAGUUGUCACGUAAGGUGAGCUCUAAGUGGUUUAUCAAAAUGUGGUUUAUCUACCAUACCUCGUGAACGCUCGUAACGUAGCAAGGUAAAUAAAUUAUACUUAAUUUCCUGCUAAAUUUGGAGAGAGAGAGAGAGAGAGAGAGAGAGAGAGAGAGAGAGAGAGAGAGAGAGAGAGAGAGAGAGAGAGAGAGAGAGANAGAGAGAGAGANNNNNNNNNNNNNNNNNNNNAGAGAGAGAGAGAGAUUAACUAAACUAGAAACCAACACGACUGAUUAAUAAUAAAUAGAAUGUGUAAGGGACGUACAUUUUAUUGUUGGUUCAAAACUAGCUAGCUAGCAACUACACAGUAAUUUACAAAUUACAAAGCACAGCAGGCAUGUAAUUGUCACUGAACAGUACUGCUAUAUAUUGUUUAUGAAUCAGAAAGAAGUGUAGAUUUGCAUCUGGGUCAAAAUAUGCUCGAAGUUAUCGGUAGACUUCUCAAUGGGAUGAGAAUGCAUGCCUUCAUAUGUAGUCACCACAACUCCUUCAUCCCUGGUUAGUCUCUGAACUUGCUUCUUCACAUUGCAACCCUGAUGCGUGCACCGAUAGUAGCUUCUACAGUUGUUAAAUAAUAAACAUGUUAGAAACUACACCAGUAAUUAACCAUAUAUCUCGAUGCAUAUAUGCAGAUUAAUCAUGAACUUAUAUGAAUGUUUGAAUGAUACUAGCACAUACAUUAUAAUGAUUAUAUAUAAAGCUGAUAUUUCUAGAAGGAGCGAGAUAUUAAAAACUCAGUACUCGAUCUACUAUUUUCCCAUACUACAUAUAAUACAAUUGUAAGGAUAGAUCGAUCUGUUUGUUGUUGCCCUAAUGUUAUCUUAACAUCUAAAUAUAUAUUGACUAUUUAUCAGCGGGCAGCAGCAGUCAUCAGAUGCAGCACGCCAACCAGGCAGGUCAAGCUAGCCAUGCUCGACUCAGAUAACAAGCUCCAAAUAUUUGCUAAUCCAUGUGCAUGAUAAAGCCUGUAGCUAUAUAUAUAUAUAAUAAUCACGUACGUAUUAAUUGAUUAGUUAACUAAUUAGAUAUGUAAUUAACUUGAAAAUUUGCUACACUGUUGUGUUCCAAAGCACCAACAGUACUAUCUCCAUUCCUUACUGCAGAAGUAUGAAUAUCGAUCUAGAUAGCCGCAUAUGAUAAUAUGAGAUACAAACACACAAACUGCUAGCCUGCUUUUAACUGUGAAUUAAUUGUUGCACGUAUUGACGUAUAUAGUUUCUUCAAUUAGCUAGGCUUUGUAUGUUAAUUUCUUAUACAUUUCUUCGUUUUGAUUAUAUCUCCGAAACUGGCCACUUACUCCACUUAGUAUAUAUGUAUAAGAAGUAACGUAUGGACUUGAGGUUUUCAUAUAUCGAUAGCAAUUGAAUCCCCGGAGCUUUGCGUUGGAUACCAACUAUAGCUAGAACAUCAUGAUGAUCGAUCAUCAUAAUCGAUCGAAUAAUAAAAGAGUUUGGGUAAUCAUUAUUCAUUACUUGAUCGCUAAUAAGUUAGUUCUAUAUAUAUAUACUGCAGAUCAACUAUAAUGAUAAUUGUAGAGAUUUACUAAGCAGUAAUUAUCAAGGAAUGAUUAUAUAAACUGAUCGGGAUGACAACACUGGGUGAUUCAAUCAUCAAUCGUGUGUUAAAUUAAGUAAAAAUAUACAGAAUAAUGGGUGUAGAAGUCCCAAUUAAGUUCGAGUAUCCUCUCAUAUUCUUAAAAAGAAAGAAAGAUCGAGAAAGUCAAGAUUUAUAAUCGUGAUGAACUGACCUUGGGAACUUGUUGUUCUUGACUGCUUUUUGGCCAUACUUUCUCCACCUGUAUCCAUCGUCAAGUAUAUCGACUUGGCUCCUGGUCUGAAACGCAUAUCUCGGCUUCCUGAUCUUCUUGUCUCCCUUCUUCAUCCCUAAUCUUACUGCUGUAUUACUUUCACCCUCCCCAAAGCUUUUCAUGCUCUGCUGGGUAAUACUACUCAUGCUGUUCGAAACCUCCAUCUCUGACAUCAGCCCCAAGAACCCAUUUGCCUUGUUGUUGCUAGCUUGGUACUGAUGAUCGUUACUGUAAGCAUGAUGAGGAUGAGUGUUCACCAUGUUCAAUGACAGCGAAGAAGCAGCAGCAGAAGGUGGCGUUGAUGAAGAAGAAUAGAAUGUUGGGUAGGUAUCCAUCAAAAAACAGAGAGGUGGAUAUCGAUCGAUGGAGAGAGGAGUCGGAUAGUUAUAAGAAGAAGGUUUGGGAAGAUUGAUUCAAUGUGGUAGAGCGGCUUGUUUAUAAAGCUGAAGUUUUAUGCGGGCUAAUCUAAUCUAUUGGAGGAAUCAAUUAAUUAAAUUAAAGGCAGUGAGAGGCGGCUGGGUGGCGCCUCUUAGCAUGUAGCCCUUGUUUGUCCCAUGUUUGGUUUGGUGUCGUAAACGGCACGUAAUAACGGAGAGUGAUUGAUGUACGUUGGUAAAAAAGAUAAGUUACAAUGGUCAUUCCACGAUCAAUUAGUCUUAGGAGCUUGGAUAUAUGCUCCUCCAUGAUUAACAUGGAAAUUAUGCAAGGUGAUUACGAAUAGUCUGAUAUGAUUACUGGGUUGGUCUUGACAAAAGUUAACCUAAGAUUGAUUUCUUGCGGGUAUACUUUUCUUUGAAUAUUGGAAACAUAUAAGUUAAUUUGUUUAAGGUGAGGAAGGAGACUGCUAGAAGCAGAGGUUGGUCACGUGUAUAAUAGGAUGCGGACUAUAUCCAAAGGCUUUGGCCUUGGUAGCUUCUAUAUAUUAUAGAUGAAAGAAUAACGCAGCCAGCCCCACGAGGUCAUAUAAUGUGUUGUCUGUCUGGUAGCAGCUAGCAGCGCAGUACGUUUCUCCGGUCAUAACCAUGUGAUUUCAGAUUGUUCUCGAUCUAGGGUUCAUGUUCUUAACUGAGUACGUGGUUGAUCGAUCAAUAAAUUCGGGACAUGUGACAUACUACAACAUCUAUUCAUACAUCUGUCUUUUGAAUUAUUAUUAUUAUUAUGGGUACAUGUUUAUUCGCAUAAUUACCAUUGUCAAGUUUUUUAACUAAUCACUAUAAUUUUGAUUCCAGGCUAUUGUAUAUACAUAGAGGGAGGAUAUAAAGAUGACCUCUUUAUUUUAAGAAUUUGAGGAUUUCAUUUAACGAUCUCAACCGUUGAUCUUAGCCUCUAGAUUUAUAUGCAAGAAACAUGUCUACAAAAUUUUAAUUAAUUCCAUAAUUAUUUGGUCAUUCAAAUUGACGUAAACAAUUGUAAGCGUUAGAUAAAAUUAAACGAAUAUUUUGUUAAUCAAAUGGUUAAACUUUUUUCAUUUUGGCUAAUUUUGUGUAUGAUUCAUAUGUGAGUAAGUAACUAGGGAAUGAGUGGCUUUGAUUGUCAAAAUACAUAUUAUAACUAAAAACAUCCUUACUUUAAGAGUUUAAGGUAAUCCAGACUAUAUAUAUAUAUAUAUAUACAAGUUUUCUCAGGUAAAGAUGUCCUUAUUUAUUCUUACGGUGCAGAUUUCCUCUUUAGACUCACUUUUCAAUCGAAUUUUCACAUCUUCACCGUCUAGUCUUUAGAUACUAAUGUAUAGAUCAUCUCUACAAAAUUUCAGCCAAUUUGGUUAUCAUUAAAGCACUCAAAAUUGCGUUUUUCUGUUAUAAACAUGAACGAUUAAAGUUCGACAGAAUUCUGUUCGUCCAUUAGUCUAAUCGAAUUUGAGUGCCUAUGUUCAACAUAAUUCUAUUCGUGCAUAUAUAUGUACACGCUAAAUUAAUGAUAUAUAUCAAGUGUUAAGAGGAUACUCUAUAUUGGAUUAAGUUGGACGCCCCAUGAUCGAUCAUAAUCAUCCAAUAAGUAUGUUGGGGUAAAUCGAUCGGGUGUUGAAACUUGAAAAUAAUGACUAGUAUAUACCGAUGUUAUCGGUUCAAGUUAACUUCAAUGAUUCUCCUAUUCCUGAAUUUUAUUUGUAUUAAUUUUGAACAAAAUGACAGUAGUCAUCAUCCGGUUAUAUUCAAUGGAUGUGGAAAAGUGUGAAACAACACCUAGUCAUUGUCCACACUAAUUGACUAAAGGCAUACAUGAUGAUGAUCGAUAUGAAAGUGAAUGAAUGAAGUGACAUACAGACACGUUCGGUAUAGCAGAGAUCGAUCGAGAACAUAUACGUAUAUAUUACUUUAAUUUCUGUUGAAUGUUGACGAUUAACAUCAUCUACUAGAAAAGAAUUAAGCUUCAAUUCGACAAACUAACUUGCCAUGGAACUGGAAAAAGAGAGAGACAGAAGAAGUAUCAGCGAAGGAGACGAGUCGUACGUAAUGGGCACGUGGUUUGAAUCUGGAAAAGGAUCCGAGGAAAGAAAGGUAUCAAGGAAAGGUACGUAGUAAUGGCAAGUGUUCACGGCGGCCGGACUGUAGGUAGCUAGAUAUAUUAACUGCCUGCAGCAGCAGCUGCCGAUGGCUGGCUCGAUCUCCUGGUCCAUGAAAUAGCUAGUAAUAUUUGGGGAUCCAGUAUAUUUGAGUUUUCAACGUACUGUUCUGCCGGUCAGAGUUUCUGACUAGCUGCUCAGUAGUGAGUGAGUGAGUGAGUGAGUGACGUCCUUACUGUCAUAGUGUCAUAGCAGGCCCCAAUCGGCCAGUCCUACAUUCCUCUUGAACCCUAAUUUCAUGUUCAUGUCAGAUUUCGCAGCUUAGGAGUUACGAGCACAUCCAACUCAUUUCUAACUUCAACACUAAUAAAUGUCUAUACGUACAGUUGAUGGUAUAUAUACGUCGUUAUACGUUGAUGCAUGGGUGGGAGGGCAGCCACGUACGUACUAGCUAGGGCUAAGUGUGUGUGUGUGUGUGUUUGUGCUGAUCGAGGUUAGGUUUAGGGUUAAGUACUACUCCUGUCCCCCUCCCUCCCGCAACAAGAUUAGCUAGCUUGCUAGGGAAUUAACGAUACAUUACAAGACUUAAUUAACUUUUAAUUCAUAAACAAAUUCCAAUCGAGGAAAAUUAAUUCAAAGAAAACUACGUGCUCUACUCGAUCGUCAAUGGAUUAAGGGAUACAAUAUUUCAAACUUGAAGCGAUUGAUAAAGGAUAAUUCUAAUAUAAUUCACAGGAAACUGAUGUUGUAUAUAUUCUUGGGGAAGAAAAAACUAACUGACAAUAUAGUCUCCUUGGCUUUGUGUGAUCAUUGCAUAUGUGUAUACAUCACUCGAUGGAUCCAGUAGUCUCCAUUGAAUUGACAAUUUCCAAAAAUUCUAGACAAGUAAUAAUCUUAUUCCCACGCACAGUUGUACGUACUAGAUGUUGAUCGAUCGAGAUAUAUUCAAAUCAAGGACAAAACAUGAUUCAACCUUCUCAUGCAAUUUUUCUUUGCAAAUACAUUCAAGGAUGGUCGACAUCUCGUAGCACGUGAGUUUUACACGUAUAUUUGAGAACGUGCGCUGCUUAAUUAGUUUGGUAAUGUAUUGUUUAUCAUAUGAGCAUCUCCAGUAGUAUUGUUAAAUUAAUUUAUUUAUUUUUAAAAUUUGUUAAUUUUUAGGAUAAAAAAAAGCUCAAACAGAAUGUCUAAUUUUAACAUAAAGUUAUAGGAAUUAUAUGGCCAUAUUUCUUUUGGUGCAUACUUUGAAGACAACUCUCCCAAUAUUAUACGUACACAUAUUCUGAUAUUCAUCUAUAUUGGUCCAAAUUUGGUUUUAUGUUUAAUAAGAUCAUUGCAUAUUCUGAGCUAAAAAAAAAACUAAUCAAAUUUGGUUUUAUGGUUAAUUUCUAGGUAGAAGGGAUGCCGGACCUGAGAUUUAAAGACUUGAGAUGAAUCUUGAGAAUUGUGCCCUUUAACAAUCAUACGAUAAAAAAAAAACAAUAGCCGUUGCAAAAAGAAAUUGCACCGAUUACAAGAUAUGUAUAAACUUAGUAAAUGUAAAAAUCUUGAAUAUGAAUUUAUGAAGUAUUCUAAUAUUAGUCAAGUAUAAUGAACACGAGAAACCGAGAAAGAAGAAAAAAAUAUAAAAAUUUUAUGAAAAUUAUAUAUAUAUGUACAUAUAUAUAUAAUUUUUUUUAUGCCUUUGAAUUUGUGUGGUCCUUGAGGCGGCGGCCUCUCAGGCCUCCCCUCAGAUACGGGCUUGCUAGGUGCCUAGGUAGCUUAUUUUUUUUCUGAUCGAAAGGAUUUCGUUGAGCUGUUCCUGGAAAACUUAAGAUCAGCAACCGGAUCGAGUACAUAGUAGAAUAUACGUACCAGUGAAAUGAUCAAUNNNNNNNNNNNNNNNNNNNNACUUGGGUGAUCUGGCCGGAAAACUGUAAUUCGGCGGACUCGUCGGGGAUGGAAAGUGGUCGGGGAAGCUGCUGGAGUCGGCUGGGGUGGAGACCCGCCCUCGCCGGCGCCGUACGGUGACGAACGGACGAAAAUCCGCACAUGAGAAAAAUUCUAUAUAUAUAAACGUGUUGGUAUACGGGUUGAUUAGUUUGCACUUACAACUCACUGUUCUUGAGUGAGAUUCAACAAUUAUCCACUUACAGAAGAGGGUUUGAUUAGUUUUCAACAAACUCAAUCGUUUUUAAGCCGAAUAUAUUAAAACUUCUUGCAACCCGGCCCAAAUACUGAAUAUUAUUUUAAUUUCUUAAAAAUAUCGAAUAUGUUAUAAAUAUUAUAAUCUAUGUGGCUGUCCAUGUAAUUACUCAUUAGUUAUGUACUAUGAUGUAAAACAUACCUUUAUAUAAAGAGGCUAAUGAGAAUGAAUGAGUAGACUUCUACCUCCUCCCAACUAUCCUCUAUGUGUCUUCUCUCUACCUUUCCUCUACUUUACAACACGUUAUCAGCACAACUCUACCAUUGAGUUGAUAACGCCAAAACCCCUAAAAAAAAAAAUCUCAUAUUUUUUCUUCUGCCGCUAGCUAUAGAUUGACAUGCUAUCACGCACAACUUUUCUCUACUUUACAACAGAAUCUUCCAUGUAUAAGGAGAUUAUAUGUCUCACUGUAUCAAAUAGAUGCCAAAUUUGGAAAGAUUAAUGUGCUACAAUUUUCAAGCCGCUUAUUGUGCUACUAUGUUGAUUUGUGUUGUGCUGCAAUUGCCCUAACUUAUUGAUUCCUUUACGGACACCGAUUAUUAUGCUUAUUCAGAAUGUUAUACUAAUCCUAUGUAAAACUUGCAUGCUUCAACUCCAUUUGUAUGAUAUAAUUUGAAAGCUACAGCCAUGGGUUCAUGGAGCAAAUAAGGGAGUGAUCGACGUCUGACCCAACUAGCUAGAUAUGAUGUAUAUAUUGAAAGGAGGCUAGAUGAUGAAUAAAUAGAAAUGUAGUAUGUGAAAAUAUAUUGUAGGAAAAUUUACUUUAGUUGCAUAAAUAUAUCAUUUAUGAAUAAGAGGUCGCGGGUUUCACAAUUUCACUUAUAAAAAAAAUAUUGAUAUUGAUAAAACUUUAUCAUAUUGUUUGUACUUAUUUUUUACACAUCGGUCCACUAGGCCGAAUUACAACAUUUAAUGAUAAUUGUUAUGAUUAUUUCGUAUAAUUAUUAUCACCAUUAUUAAGAUUUGUCGAGAUUUAUUAUUUGGUAUUAAAACCAGAUACCAAAUAUUGAAACAAUGGCGAUAUAUGACAACAAAGUAACAUUAUGGCUAAUUGGAAUAAUUGAAGACCGAAAUUUCAACAUAAUUAACAAGUCAAUUCCAACGAAGCCGCAAGAAGAAAGAAAUAAACGUGCGAUUAAAGAGAAAACAAUACGGAGCAUAUCUUUGAUUUGAUCAUUAAAACCGAAAUAUUUAUUUUAUUUAAUUUUUUUCUCCUUCCUUAAUUUUCAUGUUUGUAAUAGUAUAUAUAUGAGACAUAUACCUCAUUGUAAAGUGUCCCCGACCAACACGACAACACUUCAAUACAAACUCUCAAAUUCUACAAAUUCUCUUCAACAUCAAUCUUUUCGUUCUUGUUGUAGCCUAAGUUUCUUCUUCUUUUUAUCAUUUUUUUUUACAUUCCGCACUUUAUCACUUUCUUUAUAUUCUGCAACUUACUUUUCUGCAAUUUACUCUUCCGCGUCUUUAAAUUUCAUACACUUUAAUUUAUCCACAACAAGAAUAUAGAGCAAAGGACACACAAAGAGUGUGGCAUUUAGAGGUGUUGCAAUCCACACUUGUGUGACAAUUUUUCCCUCAUCUCCACUAAUACUCACACUUGCCACACAUAACAAAGAUUGCAACACCUCUAAAGGCCACACAAGAAGUGUGGCCUUUGCUCUAUAUUCUUGUUGUGCUCACAAUUACUUUCUGCACUUUAACUUUUAUGCAUUUUAGAUUUUGUUCUUUUACGUUUCGCACUUUAUUUCUCGCAAACCCAUACAAAAAUCACAAAAAAGAGGAGUACCAUCGGUGAAAACGCCGAAAGUCCUUGUAACAAAGGUAAGAAAACCUAACGACCGAGACGGUUCAUUCCUCAGCCUACAAUCACUUGAAAAAAAAAAGUCAGAUCAAGUGCAAAAUAUCAAUCAAAACCUCGCUUGGCCAACAUGCCGCGAGUUGGCACACCCGCAACACUAGAAUGACUAUUGUACCUUCGAGUCCCUCAGCCUCUCUUUUCGGCCGAGGCGAUUUUUGAGGCAAACACAAAUGACACUAAAGACGAAUCUAAAGGCUAAACUCACAACCUUGCUUCUGUAACUUGAGCUAGGAGAGUCUCCUACUCUAACUCUUAGCUGUUUUUUCUUUUUUUGCUAGGCCUUUUAGGUCCCCCUAUAACCAAAAUAAGAAGAAGAAGAAGCUAAACUCACUACCACAAAAUGAAAAUAGUUAAUUACAAAUACAUGACAUGAAAAUAUAGUUUCACUAAAAUAGAAGAAUUCAAAUACAUAGGAGAUCGAAUCAGUGGCGGAUGCAGGACAUUUUGUAAGUGGGGGGAUAAAAUGAAAGCUAAUUAAGGAGCCUAUAUAUGGAGACGGCACACGUACUGUCCAUUUUCUCUUUCUCGAUCUCCAUAUAUUUGUAGCUCUUGAAUCUUUUGAGUAUCAACAAGACACGAUGCAAAAAUAUGAAGGAAAAAAGACUCACAAGUUAGAUAUGAGCUCAGAAUUUGGAAGUGGGUUUGAGAGAUGAGAGUGAAUUAGGGUUGUGGGGGUGUGUUAAUUUGGCAGUUAAAAGGAGAUAAUCAGAUAUGGAAGGAGAAGACAGAAAAAUUGGAAGUGGAAAAUUGAUGGUUUUGUCAAAAGUAGGGUUAAGGGUUAAGUAGAUGAAGUAGUUCUAGUAGUGAUGGAAGAUAAGCAGACAUAGUGAAUAUAUUGGGAAGGGGAGAGAGUUGGGUUCUUCUUCUUCCCCAUUUGAGCAAACCACCUGCUUAUUGGGAAAGCACAUCACACACAAUGUCGUUCUUUCUACUUUAUAUAUCUCUACUGAGAUUUUUUCCUUUGCUGGGUAGCAGAUUCUCAAACCAUAGGUCUAUAUGCUAAGUGGUGAAAAUCAAAUGAACAUUGACACAUACAAGCAGGUUAACAGAAAAAAUUGGAAGUUCACUGGCCGGGGGCAACUGCCUCCACUCGCCCCUAUUUGCGUCCGCCAUUGGAUCGAAUACAUUGCUACUCUCACAACCGAACAAUGAAAUUAUUGAUUAGUUGAUGUCAAUAUCAAGAAAGAGAUUAGACGUCAACUAUGAAGAGAAACUCCUCAUCUUUCUGUAUAUAUACUAUGUGUCUAUGUCUUAUGAGGGGGCUAUUAAAAGUUACAAGAUAUCUAAUCAAAGAUUGUGUAAUCGUGUUUAACUUUGUGUUCGGGACUUGAUUUGGGCUGUCAAAAGAGCCUCAAAAGCGGGUUUACAAUUUCUAAAUUUCUCUUGAGCUAUGUUGCACGAACACUUCACACCCUUGGAGUGUCGAAGUGUCCGACACACCUGACAUGGCAACACGCCUCCGACAUUGCCCAACAUGUGUCCGACACGCCACGUGGAGAGUCGGACACAUGUUGACUUUUCUGACACGUUGACUGACACGUCACCUUAGCCUCCGACACGCCAUGUCAUCAAUUUUAAAUAUAUAUAUAUUUUAAAAAAAAGAGGUUUAGAUGGAUUAUGGAAUGAUUGAUAUUUUCUUGUCUAUUAGGUGUUAGAGGGUUGUUGUGUUACUAAGUUGAUGCCUAGUUUUUUUUUUAUAACCUACAUCAGAAUUGCCCAUUUGAUUCUCUUUAAUGACUUGUAUUUGAUUCUCCUUAAUAUUAUUUUAGGGAAAAUUUUAAGAACAGUACAUGACAAAUGGUCCACUCUUAAUUUUAGUGUUUCAAGUUUCAAAACAAUUAAAAUGGUACAUGACGUUUAAACACCGGCACACUUUUAGCACAUGCCGUUAAUAACACUGUUAACUCUAUGUAAUUUCUCAUUUUUUAAAAGGUGGUUUCUGGUUUUCUCAAUUCUCUCUUUCUUUAAGUUAGGUUUUCUUUUUCUUUUUUUCUAUUUAUAUACUUUUUUAACCUUGUAAACUCAAACCAUAUAUUCUUAAAGACUUUGUUGUUUUCCCCUUACCUGGUUUCUUUGUUUACUAUUCGUUGUAUUUGUAAGUUAUUAGGUUUGAUUUUAAUGAAAGGCUCAUAUUAAUCAAAAAAAAAAAAAAAUUUGUUGCUCGUCCCAAUCCAAGUAAAACUAAGACAUAGCUUUCUCGCUCUAAAUUUCCUUACUCAAUACCCACCGAUAUAUAUUCAAACCCUUUCCUCUGUAACUUACCAAAUCAAAUCAUCUUCCAACUUCCUUCUACAGUCCUACCUCAAUCACCAUUUUUGUGUAUGCUAGGUUUGAACGGGGACGAAAAAGAGAGACAACAAUACUUUUUCUUUUCUUAUUUCCCUCUCCUUAUUAAUUAUUAAUUUAAUUAUUGAUUUUAAUAAUUUAUUACUGCUAAAUUAAGGAGUGACGGAUUUGCCUCUCAAACUUUAACGGAAAACACGUUAGAUAAAUGAGAAUAUAACGGUAUGUACAUAUUUUCGGUUGAGAUUGCAAGUUCAUGUACCGUUAUAAUUGUUUUGAAACUUAAAACACCAAAAUUGAGAGUCAACCAUUUGUCAUAUACUUAAAAUUUUUCCAUUAUUUUAAUACACUUAUGCAAUGGAUUAAAUUUAGACAAGAAAGAAAAAAAAAGAUUGAAUUUUAAUAUUUUUAUAUAUUUUUUAUGUAUUAAAAAUACAUAAAUAUAUUAUUCUAUUUAUCACGUAUAACCAGGGUCGGAAACUUUGUUUUUAAAUUUUACCCGUCGCCAUGUCCGUGGGCAACAUAGCUGUCGGGUCCAGUGAUAUCUCGCUAGCUCAACCACAAUUUGCUAUACAAAAUGAAAAAACCUAGAGGGAACCGACGAUUAUUCUACGAGUGAAAAUCAUGUGACAAGAUUCGUCACGUGAGAAACACCGUCGUUGUGAUCGGGAAAGCCAACCCACCAAUACACAACAGUUUGAGUUUCAACGCUUCCUCUCUCAGUCCAUUGACACCUCACCAUUAAGCUUCAGUCAGUUUCUCGCUUAAGCUACGCAACCGAUUCCUUCAACGCAAUCACAAUUUUCACAUGCUCAUAAUCUCAUCCUCUUUCAUCUAAGCAGCCACCAUCAGAUUCUCGCCCGAUGGAUUUCUCUCCAGUCAAAUCGUUCCUGCUCGGAGCUCGGGCUUCGGCGAAUUCCUUCUUGGAAGGCUACGAGCCGCUGGUUCUGUUUUCGACGCCGCUGAUCGGACUCUUGGUCGCGUCAAGGCUUCAGUCGGUGAUCAGUGUCCUGCAGGAGAACGGAGUCAAGGCCACUCUCAUAGGCUUGUUCAUGAGCUUCAUCAAGUAAGCUACUAAGCUUUUUCACAUAUUCUGGAUUUUUUUUGUGUGUUGAUUUUUUUGUGAAAUUAAAUUGCAGGCUGGUUCCUGGAGUGAAGAAGUACAUAGACGCCGAGAAGCAAAAGGUGCGUUGGAUUUUUUUUUGAAAUUUUAGUUUUUGGUUUCGCGGCAUUUUGUGUUUGUUUGAUUGAUUCUAGAUGUUGUUGGGGUUUAGUUGAGCUUUAAAUGCUUCCCCAGCGAGUUGUUCAGGUCUUUAAUUUAAUAUUUGGAGGUUGAAUUGAUCAGAGGUUUUUGUUUUGGGGCCCCUCAGCUUUAGUUUUAACAAUACACAAGUGCAGAUUUCAUUAUUCUUGGAAAAUAGUUGAUUUUGGAGGUGUGUUGUUGGAGAAGCAGGUGGUGGAUCAGUUACAGUCUGGUGGUAACUCUAAAAGAGAGAAUUGGAGAACUGAGUUGCCUGGCGCGGGGUUGGGAGCGGGAGUUCUUGACCAGAUGAAAGAGGAGAAGAGAAAAGAUGUGGCUUGGCAAGGCAAAUGCUCUGGUACAGUGUAUGUUCUUGAAUUUUCAACUAAAUUCCUUUGUUCAUAUGUUAUGUCACAGAUAUCAUUGAAUCACUGAAUGUAUAAUGUCAGUGCAAUCAAAGGCGUUUCAGAGUUUUUGUGUAUCUAGGUCAUGCACAACAGCAAAAGUGUAACACCUUCACUAUACAGAGAAGGGUGUUGAUCUGCAGUGAUUUAUUUAUUCGUUUUUCUUUCUGAUUCAGCUUUGUUUUUGUUUGCAGAUAUAUUGGAGGAAGUGAAUUCGAAGGACAUUUUUCUCUAAUUAAUGAGGCAUGCUCAAUGUAAGUAAGAUCUUUUACAUAUAUGAUACAUGUAACUUGUUGUCAAUGGCCCUCUACUAUUGCUAGUCUUAUUAGGCAUAAACAUGUUGCUUAGAACGUGGUGUAGAAAGAGAAAUACCAGAUAUAAUUCCGGGAUAAACACUUAGGAUUCUGAGUCCUGAUACAUGUUUACACUUGUGAUUAGGCUUAUAAGAAAAACUGUUGUUAUGACAACAUCACAUAGUGAGGGAAAUUUUAUGAUCUUGGUAUAAGCAUUCAUUCUACUUCUUUGGAUGUCUUAGUUCAAUAGGGCUCUUUGUUUAUGUUGAUACUGUCGUGGUUAUGCGUGCCAAAGAACAUGUCUAACAGUGCAUUUGCUUCAUAGCUAGGGGUUGACAUAGUUGGCAUAUCUGAUAUACUCGUCUUUACCUCUUGUCUGAAUGUUUCUUGAUUUGGCUUUCAGGUUUGCACAUACCAAUCCACUACAUAUGGAUGUAUUCCAGAGUGUUGUACGGUUUGAAGCAGAAGUGGUUGCGAUGACAGCUGCAAUGGUUGGAAGUAAAACAAAGUCUUCCGGAGGACAAAUAUGUGGAAACAUGACAUCAGGAGGAACUGAAAGUAUAUUACUAGCUGUGAAAACAUCACGUGAUUAUAUGAAAGCCAGGAAGGGGAUUAAAAAACCUGAAAUGUAUGUUAAUUUCCAGUUACACCUCUUCAUAUAUACUGGUCUAGCAUGCAUGUUAGAGUUGUUUAUAUAACUCAUCUUAUUUCCAAGCUUAGGAUAAUACCUGAAUCUGCACACUCAGCAUACGACAAGGCUGCACAAUAUUUUAACAUCAAGCUCUGGCGUGUCCCUGUAGAUAAAGAGUUCCAAGCAGAUGUCAAAGCGAUCAGAAAAUUCAUUAAUAGAAACACCGUUUUGGUAUGUAAUGAUUAUAAUAAUUCCUUUGCCUUCCCUAUGCACCCUGUAUAUAAGGGUAAUAUACUGUAGUUUGAACUUUGUUAUCUGAUUUGACCUGAAAGAAAAAAAAAAAAUCUACAUUUAAUCCAUUGUAUAACCAACUUCAAGUUUUUAUUUACCAGUUAAACUAACCUUGAUCUGUUCAUGCUGUAGAUUGUUGGAUCUGCACCUGGUUUUCCUCAUGGCAUUAUUGAUCCUAUUGAGGUAUUUUGUUAUAUCCCGGAGGAGGUUGAAAGAUGCAUUUUGGCAAAAGCAUAUGAUCUUAGAUGACAACAAUGGGGAAUUUCUUUUACAGGAACUUGGUCAAUUAGCUUCUAGCUUUGAUAUCUGUCUCCAUGUCGACCUUUGUCUUGGGGGAUUUGUACUACCUUUCGCUCAAAAGCUGGGGUAUGUCUGGUUUGAUUUAGUUUUUCAUAAUUUUGGCGGAUAUAUUUGCUGUUGGUUUUAUUAUGCACCUUGUAGUAAAUGAUUAAUGUUAAUGUCUGAAAAUGUAAAGUACCGGUGGUACUAAAAGGUAGUGAGCAGUAAUUGAUUGAACGUAGGAAAUUUGAAGUUAUAUAAACUACAUGGAAUUGGUCACAUUGACUUUUGCUGUAUGGUACUCAAAUGGAUGUGUUUAUUAAUGCAGAUGAUCAUCUUAGUUAGAUCUCUGGGUCACACAAUUUAGAGCUACUCGAAUCGGUAAUAUUAUGUAGGGGUGGGUACUUGAAAAUCUUCUAAUGAAUAAUUUGGAUAAUUUCAGCAUUUUUUUCUACAUCUUUAGAUGUGACAAUAUUCUCUGUCUUUUCAGUCCCUGUCUUUAGUAGUAUCCAGAGCUGCAGUAGAUAUGCUACUUGCAGACAUCAUUUUAUGACCUACAAAAACCCUCGCAUUGAGUAGCACAGUUUUCAGUUGAUUGUUCUGCUAGUGCAGAUUCUCUCAUAUUCUCCCCAAGAAUACGUGGCAUGUUCCUCCAAGACAUGAUCUACCUACUUAUCUUUUAUUUAUUACCUUUUGUUUUUCAGGUAUCCGAUUCCACCCUUUGAUUUUUCAGUUAAAGGAGUGACAUCAAUAUCAGCUGAUGUGCAUAAAUAUGGGUUGGCUCCUAAAGGAACAAGCAUAGUUCUGUACAGAAACCAUGACAUUAGAAAGGUAUGUAUUUAUACUAGUCAGAAUUUGAGAUACUAAUAUUGGUUUACAUUUGGUUAACACCUCUCUGAUGUGAUUUCUUUCCAUGUCAUAUGGUUCACCGUAAUACUGGAUUUGUAUGACUUUCUAUCUUCCAUCAGCAUCAAUUUGUGGCUGGUAAGUUUUUGUAUGUCCAAGCAAUAUCCAGCAAGUAAAGUGAAAUUUUCAUUUAGUUUAUUUCUUGGAGAACUUUGAAUGGUUAUGCUUUCUUUGAAAAACCAAAGGAUAUAAACUUUUUACAUGGACAUAGAUUAUUGAUGCGAUUGCCUGAUGGCAUCGAUUAGAUGAUUGGAUAUUAGUUUUUGGCUUACCAAUAGCUUCAUCAGAGACCUCCGUAAGCAAGGAGGUUAUUUGGAUCAUUUACUACUCCAGUCAUGAUAGAAGCGUUAAUAUGCAAAAACUCUACUGGAACUGGAUGUUUUCAUUGGUCAUGACAAACUUAAGAGUAAAGACAACAGAGUAUAAGCUGAAUAAAGUUUUUAUUCAUUGCUUGAAUCAAGUUAUAGAUUUUGAUACAUUGCUAUAAUUUGUGGUCUGAAAUUGGUGUUGUCUGUGUCCAUCUUGCAGUUACGGAGUGGUCAGGAGGGCUGUAUGUAUCUCCAACCAUGGCUGGAAGCAGACCUGGUGGGUUAAUUGCUGGGGCUUGGGCAGCUAUGAUGGCUUUGGGGGAGGAAGGUAAGACUUGAUUGGUCAAAGGUUCUUCUAAUAUGAUGAUUUUGUCAUGUUGUUGGCGGGUGAAUGAUUCUGUUCCUUCUUGUAGGGUAUCUGGAAAACACAAGGGCUAUCAUGGAAGUAUCCAAAAAACUUCAAAAAGGGUAUUGUUUUCAACUUGUCUUUAUUUGCCAACGAGAGCAGGGGCCUUGUUCCAUUUGAAAAUAUUGCCACUUUGUUGCAGGUUAGAGGAUAUUCCCGAGUUGUUCAUCAUUGGACGGCCAGACAUGACAGUUGUUGCAUUUGGUUCUAAUGUUGUUGAUAUAUUUGAAGUCAAUGAUAUCAUGUCAUCUAAAGGCUGGCAUUUGAAUGCAUUGCAAAGACCUAACAGGUAGGCUCCUGUUUAUGCACAAAACACACACUUCAUGGAAAUAACAUUUCUUUUAGCAUGCACAGCAAUCGUAGUUCAUAAACCAAUUCAAGUAGAUUGUUUUACUCACUGGUCUGUCAAUAUGUGGUCUUUCAUCGGUCAUGAUAGUUCAUAAACCAAUUUAAGAAUCAAUCCUGACCUUUGUUUUUCUUUCCUCAUUAUGCUUGAAUCAGCAUUCACAUAUGUAUGACACUUCAACAUGUACCAAUUCUUGAUGACUUUCUGAGGGAUCUAAGGGAAUCUGUGAAAACCGUAAGUGAUUCUUGCUCUUAAUAUAAUACUGAACCAUCUCUACCAUUUGAUCACAUCACCAAACACCAUUUAUCUCAUAGAAUCCUCAUUAACCCCGAGAAUUUUCAGGUAAAAGAAAAUCCAGGUCCCAUAAGUGGAGGGCUCGCUCCUAUUUAUGGUGCUGCAGGGAGGAUGCCAGAUAGAGGUAUGGUCCAGGAUCUGCUGGUAAAUUACAUGGACGGUACAUGCUAGUGGUGCUGUCAAAAUUGAAUUUGUACAUCAUACUUGUGUGUCGUGCCUGAUUCAUUGGUUAAUUUAUAAGAAACAUUUACAAGAAAACCAGUUAUAAGUAAAAUGAAUAGUCAUUCAUUGAAUAUCAUCAAAUACUUGUCUGUAUCUGCUCCUUGUAUACAAUGUAAGGAUUCAAUUGCCUAAUCCGCAAAGUGUAAAAUGAAGUCCUUCAUUGAAUAUCAUCAAAUACUUCUCUGUAUGUGCUCCUUGUAUACAAUGUAAGGAUUCGUUUGCCUAAUAUACAAAGUGUUUGCCCAUCACUUGUUGGAGCCUCCAAAAAUGUUUCACCAAAGACAUGUAAUUGCAACAUUUGUAGGACUCGAUGCAGAAAUCACAGAGGAAAAUGACUGAAGUGACUGCCCACGUUGUAGUUGUGGAAGUGCCAAUAUGGCUCACGUUAUAAGAGAACAUAUUAGUUUUGAUCAUGUGGCAACUGAUCAUCUGACUAUAUAGCUGCUUCAACCUGAACACUAUCUCUGGGUUUUUUUUUUGUUUGUUUGUUUUUUUGUUUUUUUUUUGUUUUUGUUUUUUCUAGAUUCCUUCAAACCAGUUCUGUUUAGGUACUGGUUUGGUUUUGUCCCAUCCAUUGGAAGUACGUCAGAUUGAGUAUUACUGGCAUUAUGAAUGUUAUGAGCAUGAACGGUUUGAACGGUUUAAGUUUUUUUUGAUAGAUUUGGUUUGUUCAUCGACUUGCACAAGUGCUCUACAAAUAGGAAUCUAAAACAUAAAUCGAAUUGUAAAAUGUGGUCGUAUGAGCUCUAGAAAUAGGAAUCUAAAACAUGAACGAAGUGUAAAAUGUGAUUGAAAAGUGAGUCAUAUGACUUGGUGUUAGCAUGGACGACAAUGAAAACUGGAAGAGCUUAAGAGUUCAUAUAUGUGAUGUGUGUGUGUGUGCGACUGUUGUUGGGAAUAUAUGUGUUACUUCUACGUAGGCUCCUCCCGCUCAAAUCGCUUGAGUAGAGUGUCCAUUUUCAAUUGAAAAACCUGAAGAUAGGUCGCAAUUGAAGGUGCCCCAAAUCAACUCUUCCAAAGCAUAAACAAGAAACGGCGGCGUCUUGCCGUUGCAGCAUAGGAAGACGAUUGAGCAUCAUCAUCACCCCCGUAAGUCUUUACUGGAAUUAGGGGUUUUGAACAAAGCAAUUUACAAAUUGCAAUACAUGUUUAUUACAAGCAUCUGAUAAUGGUUUUAGUUUCGAUUACAAAAGUUUCAUAUAACAUGAUCACUAGCACAAGUUCAUGAUCUUAUAUUAUACAUUCACCAAAUAGAUAUAUAAGAGGAACCUGCCUCUUUUAUUUAUCUGGUUCCACUCUAGCUCUUUGAUCAUUAUUACAACUUACGUUUACAAACAGCAGUAGUAUAUGAAUAUACUGAUUGAAUUCAGGCGUGACAAUUCCGAAAACCCAACUUGCUUUCCCCCUCUUCACAGCUCCAAGACUAGGUCUACACCAAUCAUAACAGAUAUAGAACUGAGAAACCAUAGGCAAAUUAUAGUACUACAUUGCAUGUAGUCAUAGUUAAGACUUAGGAGUAGGCUAGGAAAGAAAUCCAAAAUUAUGCUUGAUUUGAGUAACUAUGACAGUCUACCAUUUACAGUCAUAUGUUAUAUAGUUAUAUAAGGUGCAUAGUUUACUUACAGUCUGCAUCAGUUUUGAUCCAGUGCUCCUUGUUCCCAUUUGAAUCAAGGGCACCAAGUGCAAACUGGGGAGGGUUAGAUUGGCUCUUGUAGCGUCGCAUGAUCUGGUUUGAUGAAGAGACUUGUUCAGGAUAUAACAUGAUGUCUUGAUCAUCUGGGAAGACCUGAUCUCUAUGGUUGCUGAUCCCAUCACUGCUCCUUCUCUUUUUAUUCUCGCUCUUUUGAUACUUGCCAGAUUUUUCCCCAGCAGUCGAGUUUUCUGGGUGAACUUUUCUGUGGAACAUCUGAAGGAUCUACAGGUCACAACGCAUUAUUUCAGUUUAUGUGUACAUAGUAUAGGCAAUGUUUUUAUGUGAAAAGUAAAAACAUGUACAUAGUAUAGGCAAUGCCUAUUGUAACAGCUUUAACAGCAAGUAUUCUAAAACCAUCGUCUCUAGGUACUCGUAUUGCACACCUUGGGUCAUUCUAGGGGGGUAGUUCAUAACAAUCACGGUAGUUUAUGUCUAUGUGUUCAUGUCAAGGAGCACUGAAAUGUUAUUAGGUUAGCAUUGGCAGUUCAUAACUAUCACGAUAGUCUAUGUCCAAGUAUUCAUGUCAAGUAGCUCUGAAAUGUUAUUAGAUUAGCAUUGGCAGCAUAACUGUCACGUCAGUUUAUGUCUAAGUGUUCAUGUCAAGGAGCACCGAAAUGUUAUUAGAUUAACAUUUUUAGUUCCACUUUUCUUAAAAUUCAGUUCUCUUUGUUUUGUAGAGAAGAUAAGCCAAAAGAAGUACUUUACUGCAGGAGGGGUAUCAUAGACAAGGUUACCUUAUUCAGUUUUGUUUCCGCUGAACCAGGUUCACCAGCUGCUGUAGAGCUUCGAGAAGAAGCAUUCAUGUGAAGCACUUUUUUCAUGAGCUUCUUUUUCAUCAAAUGAAUGGAAGACUUAUCAGCUUCUUUCUGGUCUGCUCUCUUCUCCUCCUUGCUGAGUUUUGCUCCAGAAUAAUUCUCUUCGGUCAGUUUACUCUUCUGAAACAGCUCACCAAGAGAUGUCCUCUGCUCCUUCUUUGCUACUGUUGUUGUUUCUGGCAACUCAUAUGCUGACCCAAAAAGAUAUCCCUGAAGUGGGCAGACUGUAGUUCCAUUAGUCCCAUUGCUUUCUGGGACUUCUAGCAUCUUACCACUUAAUGUAAUGGUGCUACCAUGACUACUUCUUCCAUUGCUAACAUGGCUGUUCCUUCCAGAUGAAUCAUUGCAAAUUUCAUCCUUAGCUUCAGCUACCAGCACCUUUUCCAACUCAUCAUUUAUGAGUUUCAGUUCAUUCUCUGUGGCCUCCGUCUCUUUUUCAGUGAUAUUCUCCACAGACAUGCCCAGUGUUGGUGUUGAUGGCUCGGUGAUGACUUGGUCUGAGCCAAAUGUACCGAUUGCAAGAAAACCAUGGAAGAGCUCAGAUGCCGCAGCAUAGGAUUCAUCUUCAAAGUAAUCUUCUUGAUCUACCUUGGCUGAUUCUAGACCAGCAAAAGAAUUUCGAAGCUGAUGGUCUCUCUGGCCUUGUUUAAAGGGUUUAUUGCCGUAGUUUGCCUUUCCAUAGUAUUGCUGAUCAUCGAGUGAUGGCUGCCCUGCAAGACAUGCACAAGAACGCUCUGACACAAAAAAGAAAUGUAAGGAUUUUUAUGACAUAAUUCUAAACUGUACAUUCUGUAUUGUCAUUUACAAAAUUCUUUGUUCGGACUAGUUCUUAUUAGGUUGUGGAAGUCUUAAUUGUUUUCUUGUGCUGUCUUCCAGUUUGAUUGAUCUGUUUGAUUAUAAUCUUGAUUGUAUUAACAAGUUAAGCCUACAUAUUGUAGCCUUUUCUACAUGCACUUGUAUGACCUUCCAGUAAAUGCAUGCACAUGGUUUUUAUGCCUACAUAUUUUUUUUCUCUCAUGUUGAUGGCCAUUGUAGAAAGAUGCACGUAACAAAACACAGCUUACCAAUGAGGAAAACAGGUUCAUUGCUAUUCUGACGAAACUUUCGAUGCAUCCAUCCUAGUAACUGCAGCAUAGGCAUGCAAGAAUAUCAAAUUGUACAUAAUUUGAAACAGUUUAAGGUCUUUCAAGGAUAACAAGAGAUAGAGUAUUUUUCUCACCUUCAUCUUGUGAUCGUCCUCUAUAAAUUUGAGCUUUGAUCCAAUUCCUUUUGCUAAGAGUGGGACAGAGGUGCUUCUUUUCCUUGGUAGUCUAAUAUUUACGAGUCUUUAUGUAUAAGAUGUCAAAUAGUAUCUGAAACCCUCCAGUGCUCGCAAGGAAGGUGGACAGAGGGAUCCACACAGAUAGUUACAGACUUUGGUUGGCUAUGGCCUGUCAAGAACUUGAUCAUAUCAAGUGGCCAAAAUGUCAUGGGGGUCCCAUAUCCCCAUCCUAGUCAUUGCACAGAGGUAUAUGUGUGAAAUUGGUAUACAAGUUUUACAAACAUUUUGAGCAGGAAUAGUCAUUUCUUUCAGUAUAGUACUAGUAUUGCAGAUACAUCUGAGUAUGGUGUUUGGAGUUGCAAUGUGCACGUCCUGUUUUGAGAAGAUGAGUUUGUCAGGUGCGCAUGAAUGCAAGUGUCUGUGUCUUCCCAUGCUUUGACAUGUUCAUGCCCAUGCACUCUCUCCAGACGAUAAUGAAGUAACUUUUAUUUCUAAUCAUGUCUACUGUGUCAGUAAUUUAAUUUACCUGGUGUUUGUUGGGAAGACCCUAAAUUAUAUAGUAGUGACUAGUGACUACAGGGAAUAUUUUGUCGGCUCCCAAUAGAGCCAAACAUAUAAUUCAACAAUCGAGUAGAUGUUCGACAAUCUAGUUGAUCUUUUUCUCGUUUUAGAUGCAAAAACUAUAGUUCUCUAUUCUAUAUGGUAGCCCACCUGAGGUAUGGCCAUUGUGAUUUCUUUAUAAUUGAUGUUAAAAAGUUUCUUGAUUUCUUGUUUUUGCUGAUUGCAGUACUGAUUUCAGGAACUGUCAUAAGCUGAUUUCAGAAAGGAAUCAAGAAACUUUUUAACAUCAAUUAAAUUUGCUAGUCCUUUGAAGAAAAUCAGCUUAUGACAGAUUGAUGAAAUCAGUACUAAUAUAGUAAUAUACAGGUCUGACUCCACAACUUCAACUCAUAUCAUGUUUUCUGUUUGAUAGCUAUCCAGCAUUAUAUACGAGUUGCAGGUAUUGUAGGCAAUGCUAUUGUGUUUUCCAGUAUCACUCUUGAGUCUCUGCCAUAAACUUUAAAGAAGAUAAACACAGUCCUGGGAUCGAGUUCUGUCACCUGAGUAAUCCUUACUGUUUUUCCAUGAGGCUGUUAGGUUGCCAGAUGCCCAGAUCCUCCCUAUUGUUAGCCAUUCAUGUUGGUGUACUUGCUAGUUGCGUCUAUCAUUGUCCUUGUAAACAUUUUUUUCGACAGUAAAGCCAUGUGGAACGGGGACGUUGGCCCUGGACAAUCCCCAUCAGCAUCUCCUUGAUUCGAGUAAGGAGAUGAAAAAAGGGAAAGGGCUUGUAGACUUGGUGACAAAGGCACAGUUGUAUCCUUGAUGAAUGAGAACUGAGAAGAAACACAUUCAUUAAUGGAUUAAAGCUCACUCAAGUACCAUAAUUUGAUGCAUUGAACAAGUUUGAGAUUUUCAUUACAGAAGAAAUUGUCUAUGUGAAAAUGAUGGAUCAUGUAAACCUUGUGGAUCUGCUACUUCUCUUUUGCAUUUGUACUCUCUGGACUGUAGUAACAUGAACAAAACAAAGUGUUGAUAAGAUUGUCAUUAGAAUUAUUUAUCAACCAUGCUCUUGAAUUGGUUCACAUUGAUUGAGAACAGUCUGAAAUGAUCUGGAGUUGAUACUAAUCAAAAUAAUUGUGGUACACUGUUACAUUGGCAGGCUCCCUAUGGUUUAUUUCUACCUACAUGCUAUGUUGAGAUUCCACCCCUCGUUGAUUAGAUUUAGUGAAUAGCAGGAGACAUGCCCCGUGAAAUCUCGCAAUCUGGUUACUGUUGAUAAGGACUUCAGAAGAGCUGAAUCUUGCUUACAGGAUAAUAUGCGUGCUACACUGAUUUAUCUGUAAGUGUCGAUCCAUACAACAAUAACCAAAGUUGUUUUCCUUUCUUUCUUGUUUUUUGGGUAUCUGCACAUAUGAGUUCUAUAUGGUAUAUUGCCUCCAGUGAACUCUAUUCACUAAUGUUAAACAUAUGGGGAAUUACUUGUGCAGGUGAAAUAUGAUAUAUCAUUACCUUCAGUUUCGUUAGAUGUCAAUUUCCCGCUCAUUAGAUGUCAAUUUCCCGCUGUAUUAUCUGUUGAGAUAUCAAUCCCAUAUCGGGAAUAUGAGAUCUUACCUGUGGGUUUAUAAGGGUUUGGGCUACUCCACCAAUUGCCAAUUAAUUUUGAAUAUGAACCACAUACUACUUUAUUAUUUGACCGGUCGCCGACAAGCAUAUAAGAGAUGCUGUGGAAAAUAAAGUUUGGGCAUCCAUGUUUAAAGAAGAUCACCUAUCUCCUCUGAGGAAGCCAACAUGAAACUAAAAUACAAACUGGUGGACAAGUCUCUCCGUUCUAUCAUGAGGGAAAACAACCCUCAAGGCGACACUGGAAAAAGAGGUACAGACCCACUUCACCCUUUUUAAUGAUUUAUCUAGAAAGUGGCUACCAAAAGUCUCAGUCUGAGUGUGAUCACCUACAUGAAUUAUAUGAAUAUACAUUCUGUUAUGGGCAUGGCGUUUGUUUAAACUUGUUUGUCUCUGCGCUUCACUGCUUUGAGUGCUGAUUUGAUUCAAGUUUCUUCUAGCUAGGUGGAUGACUAUAAGCUAAUGCUAGAAGGCAAGUGACUGUAACCUGUAUGGCUCUCAUUCAAGCCAAAUCUGACCCGAGUCACCUGACAAUUCUUAGUGAUAUGAGCAAUCACCGAUAUUAAUCAAGUGCCAACAAUAUCAAUAUUAGUUAGUUUUAGCCAAUAUAUUGAUUAGGAAACGAUAAUUACUAGUACUACAUAGUAUUAAUCAAGUGUCAAGUGUCAAUCUGCUCCUGCUUAGUUCAUUUCAUUAUAGCCUUUGUUUUUUAUUAUUAAACGAUGACUACUGGUAGUACAUAGAGAUAGAGAGCUUGACAAGCAAAUAUUCUCUUGAUCUUAAAGAAAUUUCAAUUGGAAUUUUACAAAAAAAAAAAAAAGAAAAAAAGAAAUUUCAAUUGAUGCUUUAGAAUCCGCAUACUAAACAAACUAAGAUUAUUGGCAUGGAAUAAUGUGAUCAACCAGAGCAGAAAAGGAACACAGAGGAAGAUAUGGGAUGGGGGAAUGAAUUUAUAUAUGUAUGCUUUUGAUCAUUUGCUCUGUGCCAAACAACUCAAUGAAGGAGUACAUAGUUUCUCCCAUACUUUCCAGGCUUUCGUCUCCUAUUUCUAAUUUAUCAAUUUCCUUAUAUCCCGUGUGAUAAUGGCUGCUAGUUUGUCCCUUCCCUUUUGCCCUUUCUGGAUUCCAGAAUAAUAAGGCUUUGUGUGCCACAGGGCAUAGCCGAAAGAAGGUUUUUUUGGAGGUUGGUUUUGCUGUUUACUUGUGUUCUUUACUUCUAUAAAAGAUAGGUAUAUUGCCAAAGGAAAAUGCUUCUGCCAAAUAGCAAGACACCCAAAAUUUAACGCUUUCGAUCUGUUAAAAUUUUAUGUUCGUCUAUGGAUGUCUCCACCAAUCUUCAUCAGUUUUAAUUCACCUUGGUGCAUGCAACACCAUUAGUAAAGUAGUAAUCAACCAAACCCUGAUAGUGUGCAACCCUCGCCCUCACCUAGAAAUAGAAGAAAAUUCUUUGAUACACAAGGUGAAUUGAUUGAGACCCCUAAUGACAUCGAAUGAUUUUCACUUUUCAGAGAAAAAGUUUACAGAAGUCGCUAUAAAAACCAGAAAUUUCUAGUACUUGGGAAGAAUUUAGGCACAUCUUUGAAAUAUAUCUCUAGUCUAUAUAGAAUACUAACAAGCAGCAACAUUGUAUAGUUAUAUCUCGUAGCAACCAGCUACAUGAAUUCUAGCAAGUGUUCAUGAAAGAAUGGGUAUCAACUUAUGUUUGAUGGUUAUGGAACUUUGUUACAUGUCACUGAACAAUGGAGGAUCAAAGCUAGAAGCGCCGGAUGUCUUUCAGCAGACUGAAAUUGAGAGGAUGAGUUUAUGGCGUAGCGUUUUCGUCUUGCUUCCACAUUUUGAUCGUCUUGUCAGCUCCACAAGUAACAAGCCUUGUGCCAGUGACAUCGUAAGAAAGAGCACACAUACCGGCUUCACUAUCAAGUGAACCUGGUUGUGCAGUUGUUUGUGAUUGUUGAAAACUGUGGCCACUCUCCCAAUCCCAAAACCAGAGACUCCCAUUGUCACCACCGGUGGCAAUAAUCCCCUCCCCGUUGACCGCCAUUGUGUUAACUAUGGUGUUCUGCCGAGCUAGCAUGUUGUGUAAAAAUUUCCCUCUUGGAAGGCUAAACUUCUUAAUGUUGUCCACCGACGCAGACGUAAAACAAUACUGAUCCUUAGGAUGCAGCGCCAUCGCACGAACCGAUUUCUUAUGGUGUGUGAGAGUUGACAUUGCUUUUCCACCUCUAAGGUCCCAGAACUUGAUGGUCGCGUCGUGCGAGCCGGUGACAACUUGGGGAUCAGUUGGUCUAGUGAAAACCGAGCAAACUGUGCUGUGGUGCCCCAAGAACGCAUGAACAUGCGUUUGAGUUCGAAUAUCCCAAAUCCGGCAUACCGAAUCACGUCCCCCAGUGAGUAAAACAUCAAGGGUGGGAUGAGUAGCCAAGCAGUAAACACUACUUAGAUGACCAGGAUAUGAACGAAUGACCUUGUUCUGUGUAAGGUCCCAACAUUUAACUUCUUUGUCAUCGCCAGCAGAGAACAUAUAGGUAUGCUUGCUGCUAAUGGCAAGGCCUCGAAUUUGACCGGUAUGUCCUGUCAGUGUGAGCUGUAGCUUUCCGGUUGCUACAUCCCAUAUCUUGAUUGUGCGAUCUGCAGAGCCAGUGCAAAACCAUUCAUUACUUGGGUCGAAAGCAAUCGCUCCUACAGAUCCCAAGUGGCCACUAAUGACCCUGUACAUCUUCCAUGGAUGAUGCCAAACUGGACGAGGCAACCUACUGGGAUCAGGUCCUUCCAUUACAGAAUUAGCUGACCUUACUGAACCCGAUGCAAAGGGUUUAAGACCAAUAAACUUUCAUGCUUAUAUACAGAAUUAUAGAAGAAACCCAACUCCACAAGCGGUUAGUGCAAUCCAAAAUGAACUUGGAUUUAGGGUAUUCCCAAUUUUUCUCUUAUUAGGAAUAUAAAUCUUAAAAGAUUUACGUCUCUAGUUCGCUCUGGCCAAUUCUGAAAAUUACCAUAUAUUACUUUUCUUUCUUGAAACAUGUUACAGACUUACAGUAUUUGGUUUAUGAAAUCAAAAUCUCGCAGCAAUAAGCUCCUCUCAAAGUCCAAAUUUGGCACGGUCCAAACCCAAAAGUCCCACUUCUCGAGGUUAAGAAAUUUGCUGAAGCACCUCCUAGAAACUAAAAGGAAGAAGGAUGAAGUUUCUAUGUUAAGAUCAACCACAUGCCCUAGUAGUACUAGUUUAUGCUACCACCCGUUAUAGUAGUCUGAGAAUUUUAUCUCUUGGCCAAUGCAGCUCCAAGAGAAAGGGAUCUGGUAAAGGAGUCUCUCUGGACAACCUACAUUUCCAGCUCUCUAGUUUUGUUUUUAGUUUCACAGUCACAAACUCACAUAGCUUCAAAUGCCAUGGCAACUACACCUAUCAGCAUUUUGGAAAGCAAUGGAUCAAUCCCAGUACAAGAGUGAUGUGAUUAAGAGGGACACCAACUAUUACUAUUCGUGGUCCAGCAAGUGUCAUCACCUCCCUUGUGAAUGUAGCAGAAGCUAGUUGUUUUUCUAUGUCAUUAUUGGACCCUCCCCAUUUAUCUGCAUCUGAAACCCCAUCUGCCAUCAUACCCAUCCUUUGUCUCUCACAAAACCAACAAAAUGCUACCAGACAAUCUAGCCUCUCUACCCAUUUAAUUUUUGCCUUUGUCUCUUUGGGUAUAGAAAGUGACCCAAAAUCUAAGUCUCAUUGUUUGCAUAAUUUCAUGCAAAAAUCCUAAAAUCCUUCAUACUAUUACAAUUCUAAAAUCCCAAAUCAUAUGUCCCAUCCAAUGAGUUGAUCUACAAUUCUUGAGACCUUGUAAUAUAACACCUCCAAUUUCAUGAAAACUGCCAAAGCCAAAAUAAGGUAUAGUUUUGAAGAAUCACUUUCAGCCCUGAAAAUGUGAGGUGCUUGCUGGGAGUGGGAGGGAAGGGUAGUUCCGGGUUUUGAUGGAUUUGCAGGGUAAGGUGUCAGAUAGACAUAGGGUACCUAACCCAAAAUAGACUAAACAGCAUUGGGAAGAUAUAAAUUGGGACUGGAAUUAUUACAUGAAACGAUUCCAGCCAAAAGGAAUCAAAGAAAGAAAAAAAUAGCAUAGAAAAUCGCAUCCUUUUGACAUUCAAAAAAGGAGUACCCAAUAAAAUAACUCAAACCGAAAAUCACUUUUGCCCAUUUCCCCAAUUUUAAUACUCAUCUCAUAAUUUCACAAAAAUUACCACUAUUUUAGAGAAUAAUAAACAUUUUUCAUUGAGUGGGAGUGAGGGAGCAAUGGACAUACCUAUAUAUUUCGAGCACAAAAAUUAACCUAAACCACCAAAAAUAUAACACUUCCUCCCUCUUUCUUUGCGGCUCCAAAAGUAAAAAAAAAGUAAAAAAACGAAAUUCCCCUUACCCUUUUUUUUGUUUGCCUACGCAUUCGGACUCCAAAGAUUCCACAAACGAGAAUUGAAUAGCCCCAACACGUCCGGAAGUACUUUCCUUGCCAGACCCUUGUGGUUGCUCACCGCCGCGGCGCGUACAAUCAACGCCACGUCGUCCUCCUCCACCUUAACCUCCACAGCUUCCUCCUCUUCCACUCCUAACUCCUCCUCAACUCUCUCCGAAACUACGUCGCAAACCGGCAGCACCAAUUCGGGAACCAAGCUCACUGCCACAUUGACACUCUCCUCCUCCGCCGCCGGCGCCGCCACAACAAAGAUUUCAUCUUUAGAGGAACCCUCGGCUGAUUUCUGAGCCUCGCGGCGGCCCGUCUUGUCUCCUCUCCGCUUCCCCCUCCCGGCGUUCUUCUUGGGCUUCUCGCCGUGGGCCAGAUGGUCCUCGAAGGCCUCAAUAGCCUGGUGGAUGAGCUCGCGGUUGGGGGAGGAGUCCCACCUGAACCAGUAGCUUCGGUAGCAGUCGAAGCACUCGCAAUCGAACUGGUGGUUCUUGUUAUUCUUACUCGUUAAUUUCUUCGAAGACUUCUUCUUGAAAUCUUGAGGGUUCGAGGAAGAAGAAGAGGAAGUAGAGGGUGCGGUUUUCAUGGAGCAGGUUAUCAUGUAAGCCAGGACCUCGCGGUCUUCGAGGGAGAGAACCGAGGCCAGAGCUAGAAUAGCAGCUGGGAGUAGCUGGAGGACGGAGAGAACUACUCCAUCGGAAGAAGAGGAGGAGGAGGAGGAAGGAGAUGGGUGGACUUUGCCUUUGUUCUUUAUCUUCAUGGCUGGCUGUGUGGGAGAGUGGCGGUUUUGCUAGCUGCUUGAUCUGUCUCAGAGGAUUGGAAAGGCUGUAGCUUUUUUCUGUGGUGAUAUGAGAGAGAGGCGAGUGGUGAACAGUGGUAGGGUUUUUGUUUUUUAUUUUUAGUUUGCUUGGGAAACAAUAAAAAAAGAAGAAAAAGAAAUAGAGGAGGACAAUGCGUCUCGUCAAAGCAGAGAGCGGUCGCCGUUCCUUAUUUUUCAGGUUAACACGCGCGUGGGGGCGCGUUUUGUCAUUAUUCUGGAAAUUACAGAUAAGGGCGUUUGGGGUUGGGUUGGGGUGAGAGUGGGACAGCAGUCUUAUAUUUUGGGAAAAUUAUUAAUUAUGCUUUUGAUUAAUUAUAGUAUCUUAAUGUGAGGUAUAUCCAAAUGAAGUUUUGAAAAUCUAAGCUCUGUCAAAUUAUAUUCAAUAAAGCAUGCUCGAGAGGAAAAUCUACCGAAUCUGACAUUACUGGUAGGGCUUCAUGGGUUUUGGUUUAUAUAAUUGGACUAUAAGUUAUCAUAAAUUUUUUAAUUAUAAAAUAGUUUUACAGCUUAUCUGGUUUGAAACCAAGUUAAUAUAUAGUCCAAGCUUUCUUACCUAGUUUAUGGAUCAAUUCAGAACUAUUUUCAAUUCUUCGUGAAACUUUCUAACCUAAAAAUUUAAAAGGGUCAUUUUCUAUGUCUAACUUAGAAAUGAAAAAUAGUCAUCGAUGAGUGUUGAGUGUGUGUAUGUGUGUUGAAUAUCAAACAAAAUUGGGGAACCAAACUUUUUUUUACAAGCAAAACAACCAAGUUUGUUUGUAGCAUCCUUUUCUUUUCUUUUCUUAUUAGUGAUGAGUGAAUCACUAAUUUCAUAGUGAAGUAGUCAAAAAUGCACGUUGACUCAAAGCAUAAUAAAAAUGUUAGUAAAUUGUCGUCAAAGUAACCGUCAAGGAAAUGGUUUAAUGAAAAUUUUCAAAUUUUCUUAAACUGAAAAGUUUAUAAUAAAUUUUUGUGUGGUGUUGAUGCUAUAUUAACAAGUUUGAUAGGCAAUUUUAGUGAAAAGGAAUAUUAAGUUGCACUUAAACAAGGUAUAUUAAUAUGAGUGGUAAAGGUUGAAAACUCAUUCAACAUGUGUCAUUAUCAUUGUAAAUGAAUGAAAGAUUAACGUUAACCUAAAGUUGUAAACCCCGUGAUUGGUCUCCACCUUAUGUCUCGGGGCGUGGUUUGCAAACGCAGCUGGAGAGAGUAGGAAUCGAGUGAAAGGGGAUUUAUGACUGUGAUGCCCCUGUAUGGUACUAUGGUUUGUAUCAGAGUCGCAGAGCUAGCACCCGGUACUGCUAUUACUUUAGUGGGCAAACUAGUCAUUUUCAUACUCGCUGGUAAGGAUAAGGACAAGUGGUCAACCGACCAAAAAGACUGUGGGGAGGCAUCAAUUGAGUGAGGUGAGGUGGGUUAGGGUUGGAUUCUCUCCCUAUCUUGUCCGUCAAUUUUAUUGAAUAGAUCCAACGGUUUACCAUUUUCGGAGAAGAAAAGAUAAACAACUACAACAUUAAAUCCUCUGAAUUCUAUGUACUAUGAUCAUUCAUUGGGAAUUUGGGAUAGAUUUGAGACAUUAUGGUUGAGUUGGUGGGUUAUUACUCCAGAAUGUUAGUGAUAUCAGCCCGUACGAGUUUUCAUAAGAUGAGCACAUAUAGUAAACAAAUAUGAAAUUUUAGUUAGAUUUGAUUUCUGGAUGAAUUAUGGAUUGAUAUAAAAAUUAGAUGUUAGAAAUUAAAUUAUAUUAUGUGUCACUAGCCUCUUAACACACGCGUUUGGUGAACGAAUAUUAUUACACUACAAGAGUUUUUCAAUCCAAACAUCAAUUCAAACAUUAUAACUUUAAAAUUGUCUUACUUUGAUAACGUAAUAAGGGUUGUGCAAUCUAAACGUCAAUAACUCCGUUUAGGACUUUAGGUUACAUUUUACAUCUUGGUUAGGUUAUACAAUUAUCUCUAUUAAUCUCUAUUAAUAAAUCAAGAAAGCUUUUUUGACUUCGUCAACGGUUAAAUUUUUAAACUACCUAUAAUGUUUUUUAUUGAUUAAAACUUUAAAAUAUGUCUUCUAACAACAGAUGAAGGACAAAUUAAUAAUUACAAAUGUUGGAAACAAGAAAUAAAAGGAAAAAUAGAAAGAAAUAAGCAAAAAUAGAAAGAAAUAAGCUUAAAGCAUGGGAGGUGGGAGAGAAAAGUGGGAAGGAAAAUCAGACUUUAAGCAUAACUGUAAUAGUGAAAAAAAAAUCACACACGCACGUAGUGCGGAUCAACAUGCUAGUUUUUCUUAAUACGAAACAAAAUGAUUACAAUUUAAAGUUAUAAAGCCUCUCGGACAACCCGAAGUAACGUUGUGUAACAAAAGAGCACUAAAGAAUCCAUCAGGCAACCCCAAUUGCCACACACGACCCGACGACCGUAAGGAAAUUGGUUAGGUAAUGCAUUUGAUUGUAACUUCGUAUAUGGUAAGCUUUCGUUUGUGAUAUGAUGCCACUAGAACUCGGGGUCAGCAAAAACAGGACAUACCCUUCGGUUAUGUUUGUUGCCUUGUUGGUUUAUCUACGCUGGGUUUCAUUGCUCUUCGCCGGAGUAAUGUCCGGGUUAACGUUGGGACUCAUGUCCCUCGGCCUCGUCGACCUCGAGACUCUUCAAAAAACAAGCAGGUUCGGUUUGGUCCAUUGUCUUGUCUCGAUUACUUGUGAUGUGAAUUGAUCAGAAAUAGAUAAAGCUUUGUUCUUGGUGGUUGGGUUUCAGUUAUUUCUGUUGCAGCGGUUAUACUUCCUGCUGCUUGUCACUUUGCUUCUGGAGCUAUGUGGAAGUGAGUACUUUGAUCAUUUGCUUAUCAAUUGGUUUGUUAUUUGAUUGCGCAAGAUUAAAAUUGGUUAUUGAAAUAUACCAAGAUGUGAUUUUGAGUAUUUGAACUGAUCCAAUUGCAAUCUGCAGGCUCUUCCUAUACAUUUGGACAAGCUUUUCAGUUAGUAUGUUGCUACAAUUCUGUCUGUGACGAUUGUGCUGUUUUUUGGAGAGGUGAGUGUCUGAUUUUUGGCAUUGUGGUUUCAAGGUUUAUGAUUGUUUAUAUAGUUGGAGUGAAUCGGAAUUUGAUUUGGUGGUUGCUUUCGUUCUGCCAUGCUUAUUUUUACAACCAAUAUGCACUAGAUAUACUGGCUGUAGGUUCCAACCUUGAAUGGAUUGUCUGAAUUUUGAUGAUGAUUUGCUGUCGAAUUGCUUAUCCAAUUGGAAAGGUAUAUGCUUUGAGGAAUAGUUGAAAUAAUGCUGAUACUGUUUGUUUGACAUGUAAUUGCUGAUGUUAAGAAUUUUAUGUUUCCACAUCUUGGAUUGUGUUCUGGGACUUCAUUAUAUUCAAGUGUGCUCAGUUAAAGGCCUUGUGAAGUAGAAUUCCAUCCACAACCAAUUUGUUAUCACUUGAGUGAGAUUGAAUUUAGAAGGAUUAUAUAUAGGCACGCCCAGUUAAAAGCCCUUGUAAACUAGAAUUCCAUCCACAGCUAAUUUUUUUUUUCAUUUUUUUAUUUUUAUCAUAUCUGAAGUUUGACAGUUGAGCUUGUUUCUCGUAGCUGGGUUUGGACCAGCAGAACAGCUAAAUCAGGUAGCUGACCAUGUUGCCUGUUUAGUUCGCAUGAGGCAGUGUCCAACUGAUUGGGUUCAGUUCCCACCUGCCUCCUUGUUAGCACUUGUUCUGCCUUGGAUUUAAUUUCUGUUUUUCCUCCUUCCCUCCAUGUUUUGGGUAGGAGUUCAUUUUCCUUUGUUGAACCCUGUCUUGGUUUCAAUGCAUUCAGUUUGUCAAAACCGAAAAAAGAACUUAGAAGGAUUAAGGAUAUAUCUAUAUAAUAAGAAAAAUUCCCUCUUUCUGUUAGUUUCAUCUGUUACUUUGCAUACUAAGAGGGCAAAGGCGGUGAACUUACACAUGAUGAGACAAUGAUAAUUAGUGAAGCACUGGAAUUAACUGAAUAUGUAUAAUUUAUAUGAGAUGGGAAGUUCUUUUUGAUGUUUGACUGUCUUAAAUUUCUUGUUUUGUAUCACUGGUGCAGUUUUAGACCAUUUGACAGCAUAGAUAAAUGAAUUAGAUUGGCCACUAUAUUGUGAAUUUUAGGGCAUAAUUUUUUACUUAGUUCUAAAUUUAGUAUUUUGCAUUUGGAUCCUGUUAAAAUACUAUAGGUUAACUCAACUCCGAGCUUUCUUUUGAGUGGGAUACGUUUCAAACGGUACUUCAUAUCUUGAAUACAUUUUAAAUGCACCUAGAUACUUCUUUACUUGUUUGAGUUUGAUUAUUUAAUUGAUACUUCAGUGUGUCAAUUUAAUUGAUUUAGUGGCUUACUCUAUUGCUUGACAUUUGUAUAUGUUACUCCUGCUCUUAAGCACUUAACUCUAAUAAGUCAGUCAAAUGCAUCCUAUUUUUGAUUAUGUUUUCAUUUGUCAACAGACUGCUGAGGAGGCUUUGACGGCCAUUAAAUCAACCUUUUCCUUAGAUGUCAAUGUAAAGUUGGACUGGUAAGUUCGCCUUCUCAAUCAACUAUCAUACUGACUGUGAUAAGAAUCACAUCAUCAUUGUCUAAAACAAAGGAAGUCUAAUCAGUAGGUCAACCUUCAACAUUUGGUAGAAGGGUUAAUGAUGCUGUAAAAUCAUUCAGAAACAUAACCAUGUCAGUUAGUUGGCAUUAUUCACCUGCAUACUACAUUCAAUCUUUCAGUUUCUACUAACAAAAUUGAACCAAGAAGUUUCUUUUCAUAUACAACAUUCAAGACAUUUGGUCUUUCUUUUAGUUUUUGUAAAAUUGGUUUUAGCAUAAGCUGAACAAAUUGUGUGUUAUCUGAUUACAUUUAUAUUCUUGGCUAAUUAAUUACUCCUCCCCCCAAAAAAGAUGAAAGACUUGUAAGAAAUUGCUGGUUGGUCCAACCAAGAAGAAGUGGGGAAAUUUCUUGCUCGGGAACAUAGUCAAGUUCCUGUCUAUUCUGGGAAUCCAAGGAUUAUCAUUGGACUUCUCCUGGUGAGUGUUAGAAUUUAGACUUUUAGGACUUUUAGAAUUAUUAUUCCUUGCAAUUAUCCUUUGCUAUUUGCUUGAUUCUUCUGCAUAUUUGUUUGAAAUCUCUGCAAAUUAUGGUGACGUGAGGUUUGCUAUCAUGGUAUCAGAGCUCCAGUAGCUCACGCUUCAAGUUCUCUUCGAUCCUUGUGGGAAUCGGCUUCGCUGUGCUUCAGUUCUUCAUCACCUUCACACGCUUACUUAGGGUUUGGCUUCGAUUGAUGUUUCGGUCUCAGUUGCUGGAUAUUUGGAUCGUUUGCUUUGAUUUCAUCAUCUGAAUAUCUGAUCAUUUCGUCGAACAGUAAAAUUCUUGAAAUGCUAUAUCACGAUCAUGUUCUAUUAAUCCUAUGCCUUAUAUGUGCAUUGUGUAUGAUUUCGUCUCUAAAUCUACAUAUUGCAUCAUUCAUGAUCUGCUGUGAUGAUAUAUGUGCUGCUGUUAUGAUAUUUAGAGCACCGUAGUGAACCACAGCGAACUCUAGUACUCUUAAUUUGCUAUUGCCUGCGAAACUUUGCUUGUUGAUGCUAUAUUUCGACAUGUUUGCUGUUGGAGAGGAUCAGUCCUCCUUAUUAAAGCUGUGAUAGUGCUUGGGAGAUGUCCAGUCCUCAUGAUGUAUCUGAAAAGAUAGAGAUGACCAGUCCUCUUUCACUUCAGUAUUAUAAUUCAGGAGAAGUUCAGUCCUCCUUUGCAUACUACUUGAAGGUCUUUUGUUUGGCGAAGUUCAGUCCUCCUUGCAUACUGUAUGAAGGUUUCCUGUUUGGAGAAGUUCAGUCCUCUUAUUCGUACUAGUGGUUAUUCAUAGAAGCACAAGUUUUUCAGUUCAUCAUAGCAAAUUGAUUGUGUGUUUAAAGAAAUGCUAUUCUGGUGAUAGUUAUUUUUAUUUCUCUUUCCAGCAGCAGAUCAGUCAUUUGAUUCUUCACAAUGAAUGCCAUUCAAGCCCAGAUCAAUUAUCUCCAAAGUCUGCUUACUGUUCAGCUGGAUGAUAGUAACUUUUUCAAAUGGAGCUACCAGCUAAGUUCGGUUCUUGGUGGUCAUGAUCUUUACUGCUUCUUUGACGGAACUUACCCUUGUCCUCCCAAGUUUGUAAUUACAACUGAUGAAGGAGAUACAACUGAGAUCACUGCAGCAUAUAAGGAAUGGAUGACAACUUAUCGAGCACUACUUGGCUUGCUCCUAGCUACUCUCUCUGAUGAGGCUAUGGAGUAUGUCUUGGGAGCAGAACAUCCAGAGAUGCUUGUCUUCGUUUGGAAAGACGAUACUCCACGAUGUCUCGAGCUAGUAUUAUGCACAUGAAAACUGCUUUGCAGACUAUCCAAAGGGGGGGGUGGUGAUAGUAUUGAAAAGUACUUGCUUUGAGUGAAACAAUGCAAGAAUCAGUUGAAUGCUGUGGGAGUUCACAUCUCAGAAGAAGAUCUAAUUGUUGUCAUUUUAGAUGGAUUGCCUGAAGACUAUGAUUCUGUUAAACAGAUUAUCCGAGCUAUGGCUACCACGAUCACGAUAGAUAUAGAGGACUUCAGGUUGCAGUUGCUUGCAGCUGAACAAGAUGCAGAGAGGAGAAUGUUGAUCUCUCUCCAGGCCACUCUUUCGGCUAUGGUAAAGCUGAAAGCUGAAAGCUGAAAGUUCCAAAUCUUUCAAAAUCAUUCUUCCCCUGUGGCAUUGCCAUGGUAGCCUCUCAAUCCAAUGACAAUUCUAGAGUGCAAAUAAGUUCUAAUGGAGCUGGCAGCUAUAGCAACGCCAAUGCUGGUAAUUUUCAUGGAGGUAAUUGGAACACUAACAAUUGUGGAAAUACUGGAGGUGGUAACUAUAAUGGUAAUUGGAAUAAUAAUAGUGCUCCUAAUAACAAUUGUGGAAAUACUGGAGGUGGUAACUACAAUGGUGGUUACAAUGGCAAUGGUGGAAACAAUUAUGCUGGAGGCAGUAACAGUAAUGGUGGCAAUUACUACAAUGGAGGAUUUAAUGGCAAUGGUGGAGUCAACUAUAAUGGAGGUUGCAAUGGUUAUAUGGGAAACAAUAAGGGGGAUACGGUGGAAACUAUGGAGGAUACAACAAUGGUAACAACGGAGGAAACCAUUACAAUGGCAACAACGCAGGAAACCAUUACAAGGGAAAUAAUUACAAUGGUGGUAGUAGACGGAAUUUUGGAGGAAGAAAUGGAAAUGGAGGAUAUGGUUUUAAUAGAAACGGUGGAGAAAACAAUGCUGGAAACUUUCACUACAAUUUAAAUGGGAAUAGAUCCAAUCAAGCCCCAGAAUCUACUAGCUGUUAUAGAAAUGACUCUGGUGACUCAUCUUCCACAAUCAAAUGUCAAAUAAGUGGGAAGAAGGGACAUGCAGCAUAAGAUUGCACUCACAGGGGAAAUUACUCAUACCAGGGUACCUCUCCUCCUCCGUCCUUACUGCUAUGACUGCACAGGGGCAAAAUAUGAGUGAGUUUGAUCCAUCUGGACAAGGGCAGAAUCUGCAUGGGUUUGAUCAACCUGAAUUUUGGAUUGGUGAUACAGGAGCAACUCAUCACAUGACAGGUGACAUGAAUCAGCUGGUUAAUGCUACUCCAUUUGACAGUUGACACUAGUGCUAAAAUCACCAUUGGCAAUGGUACAGGUCAUAGUAUUACUCAUGUUGGCUCAGUCUUGAUUCCAUCAUCUCAAUCUAACCCAUCUAUGCGUCUGUCAAAUGUUCUUUUUGCUCCAAAGUUAAAAGCUAAUUUGCUUUCAUUCAAUAAGCUCGGCAAGGACAAUAAAUGUUAUGUAACUCUUGAUGAUACAGAAUUUUGUGUGCAGGCCAAGAAAACAAAGGUGGUAAUAUUUCAAGGCAAGAGUAACAACAGCCUCUAUCUCUUCCCUGCCCUUUCAGCAAAUAAAUCCAUUUCAGCUCCUUCAGCGUUGCUUGGACAAGCAGUCAAAUGCUCCCUGUGGCACAAGAGAUUGGGUCAUCCUAGUGAUCCUACCAAUGAAGUUUCUUGCAUUAUAAGUCUUGUUCUCAUACACCUCAACAGAAUGGGUUAGCUGAAAGAAAACAUAGACAUAUAGUUGAAACUGCAAUUGCCAUGCUUUCAGUUGCUUCUCUACCAAGAGAGUUUUGGUAUAAUGCAGUUGCUCAUGCAGCCAUUCUCAUCAAUAGAACGCCCUGCAAGGCUUUGGAUAUGAAAUCUCCUUUUCAGAAAUUAUUUUCCAAGCCUCCAGAUUUGAGCUAUCUAAGGGUUUUUGGCACUGCUUGUUAUCCCUAUCUCGGACCCUAUUGUAAGAAUAAACUUGAACCUAGGUCCUCUCAGUGUGUUUUUCUUGGAUAUGCUCUAGGUUACAAAGGCUCUAUUUGCUUUGAUAUCUCCAGAAACAAACUUUUGGGUAUCCAGACAUGUCAUAUUUGAUGAGUCAGUCUUUCCUUAUAAGUCUGUUAUCACCUCCAACAAAUCUAGUGGUCAGAAAACUCUACUGUCUACUGCUUCUUCUUCAGCCAGGUCUGCCACACAGAGGCAAAGACUUACAUAUUCUCUCUCACCAAACUCUGUUGCUGUUCCAUCAUUGCCUACUGAUAGUCCUUCACAUGAUUCAUCAUCACAUGAUUCAUCAUCACAUAUUACUUCUGUUAGUCUUCCCUGAGCAUAACCCCAUUGAUUUAGCUCUGAAUGAUCUUGAACCUGGUUUUGAAGAUCCAGUGAAUAUUGUCCCUGUUGAGGCUGUGAAUCAGAAUGCAAAUGAUAUAUUAUCCAUCCUGAAGUUGGUCCUGGAGUUCCUGUUGGGAACCUUGUUGCUGAAUCAGGUCCUCUCCUCUUUGCCACAUGCUGUCAAUGCCCAACUAUGCAAACAAGGUUUAAAGAUGGUAUAGUACAGAAAACGGAAGUUUGAUGAGUACUGUUGUUCGGCAAGGUUUGUUAGAUGAGUUAGCAUUCUUUUCUGGGUUGUCAUGUGCUGCAUCUAUUCAUGAACCAAUUGAGCCCAAGUCUUAUAGAGCUGCAUCUGAACAAAAAGAAUGGCAAGAAGCUAUGAUUGAAGAAGUUGAAGCCUUACAGAGCCAAGGAACUUGGGUACUGGUUCCCAAACCUGUAGAUAGAAAUAUUGUAGGCUGCAAAUGGGUUUACAAGCUUAAGAAGAAUGCAGAUGGUACAAUUUCCAGGUGUAAAGCCAGACUUGUAGCACAAGGUUUUAGUCAAACGGAAGGGUUGGAUUAUACUGAGACAUUUAGUCCUAUAGUGAGGCACAGUACCGUGAGAAUUAUUCUUGCUUUGACUGCAAGCAGUGGCUGGAAGCUGAGACAAUUUGAUGUGAAAAACACAUUUUUGCAUGGUGAUUUACAAGAAGAUAUCUUUAUGAGACAACCUCAAGGUUUUGAAAGCUUGGAACAUCCAGAUUUUGUUUGCAAGCUAAGGAAGUUCUUAUAUGGUCUCAAACAGGCUCCAAGAGCCCAGAAUGAGAAGUUCACAGGUCAUCUACCUGCUCUGGGGUUCAAAGCUUCUCAUUCAGAUCCAAGCUUAUUUGUCAAAGAAUCUGUUGACGUAAUUGUUGUAUUGCUUUUGUGAUUGAUGAGUUGAGUUGAGUUUUUGAUAUGAAGGACCUUGGAUCUUUGUCUUUGUUUUUAGGUCUACAGAUCUCUUAUAUGCCAUCUGCCCUUCUGGUCAAUUGUUUGCGUCUCAGAUGAAAUUUGCCAUGGAUCUAAUUGAAAGAGCAGGUAUGAGUUCUUGCAGCAAAUGUAAUACUUGCUUACCUCAUUUUCAGAUGUUGCAAAGUGAUGGUUAACUGUUACCAAAUCCUUCUCAUUAUCGAAGUAUAGUAGGGGCUCUCCAGUAUCUAACUUUACUCGACCGGAUAUUGCCUUUGCUGUUAAUACAGCUUGUCAAUUUUUGACUGCACCUAGUGAUGUCCAUUAUGCUCAUGUUAAGAGAAUCAUCAGGUAUCUUCAAGGGAAUCUGUCUCAUGGUAUAUAUAACAUAUGGUUAUCUGCGAAUAGUGAUGCUGAUUGGGGUGGUGAAAUAAAUGGAAGAAGGUCCCGACUGGUUUUGUUGUCUUUUUUGGGGUAAUAAUCCAGUUUCUUGGCAGUCAAACAAACAAGGAAGUGUAUCCAGGAGCUCUACUGAGGCUGAGUACAGGGCAUUGGCUAAUACUACUUCCGAUUUGUCUUGGGUCAGACAUGUUUUUGUCCCUCAACCUCCUAUAGUUUCUUGUGAUAAUUUUUCAUCUCUUGGGUCAAACAUUUUGACAUCUUUUCGAAAGGAUUGCAUAGCUCUCUAUCUUUAGAAAGCAUUGUACCAAUCCAAGGUGUUGGAUUAGUACAAGGCAAUCUUUACAAGGCCAGUCUUCACAAGGCAAAGCCAGUUCUUGUUUCCAUCAGAGGUGAUUAGUACAAUGCUCAAAAAGGUGAUUAUGUUUUUUUCUUUUUAAACAAAGAACAUGUUAGUAAAGAAAAAAUUCAAGUCACUAAAAAGGUGGAACUGUAAAAUUUCAAUUCCCAUUUGGAAAAUACUCAAUAUUUAGGGUUGCUACAGUUGAAGCUAGAGCUCGUUAUAAACUUACUGUUAUGAGUUUUAUCCCAAAGUUCAUACUCUACAAUGCCCUAUACAAGGAUCUUUUAUUGAUAUUAAAAUGCAAGCUGCUACAAAUAGAGCCUGAGAUCACACUAAACUUACUGUUUUCCCAGAGUUCAUACUCUAUAUACAACUAGAAAUUUGGCCCGCGCUCUGCUGCGGGAUUCCCCUUAUCCGUGUCGAUCUUCGAUUUAAUUCUUGGACAUUAUUCCCAUAAAUCAGGAGAGUUCAAACAGAAGAGUAAGAGUGUAAAAGUACCAAGUAGAAACAUUUUGAGUUAUUUAGUCAUUGAAAUCAAAUAUUCAUUCAUCCAAAAUCCAAUUAGUCAAGAAAUAUAGCUGCACUUAUGGUGCUGAAGCAGGUUGUUUCUCUUUGUCAAGAAAUACUAUAUCUAUCAUCAGCUUUACUCGAAAUUGAUUGCAAAAUAUUAAAAUUGUAUUGUUANNNNNNNNNNNNNNNNNNNNNNNNNNNNNNNNNNNNNNNNNNNNNNNNNNNNNNNNNNNNNNNNNNNNNNNNNNNNNNNNNNNNNNNNNNNNNNNNNNNNNNNNNNNNNNNNNNNNNNNNNNNNNNNNNNNNNNNNNNNNNNNNNNNNNNNNNNNNNNNNNNNNNNNNNNNNNNNNNNNNNNNNNNNNNNNNNNNNNNNNNNNNNNNNNNNNNNNNNNNNNNNNNNNNNNNNNNNNNNNNNNNNNNNNNNNNNNNNNNNNNNNNNNNNNNNNNNNNNNNNNNNNNNNNNNNNNNNNNNNNNNNNNNNNNNNNNNNNNNNNNNNNNNNNNUGCUGAAUAAGCGUGUCUUCAUUACUGUCAGUUUGAACCCUAUUCUUCUUCAAGUAGAAGGAACAUAACACUAUACAUUUUCAAGUUCUACUUACUAAAACCAUAUGAAAAUCAAAGUUCAUUAGCCCAUUACUUCAUGUUUACACAUGAAAGUAAACAUAUUUUAGGUUCUUUAAAUACAUAAACCUUAUGCAUGUAGAGAAUUGAGGAAUCAGUUUUUUAUUCUUCUUUUUUACUUACCACGAAAUUCUUUUUCUUUAUUGGAAUUUUGGCACCUGCACAAUGGUUUGCAGGUUAUCUUCACCAAAUCGUGGAUACUGCAACUGAACAUAAACCAUACAGAUUAGAUAUUUAAUCAAAUGUGAAAAAGAUAAAAGCUUUUUUACUUAUUCAUGUUAAAAGAGGUUAACUACAAUCUGAAAGUAAAUGAUGGUGGGUAAGUGGUUUUUCAUUGACAUAUUGCUCGCACACAUACCUUGAACACAAAGAAUCUAAAAGUAAAAUUCAAAGCUUCUCCAUAAACAGUGUCUUAUUUUGAAGUUGUAUUGAUAAACUUGUAUCACACAAAUUAAUGUGGGACCUCAUUUUUUUUUUCAACUGAAGAUAAGAAACAAAAUAUAUUAUUUUCCAUUCGGGAAACUGAUGUUACCGGGUUUUUAUGAAAGCUAUCAACCUAGAGCCUUAGUUUAGUGCAUUGGAUAUCAUACACUUAGUUUGGGCAUGAGAUUGAAACAUAAUAGAUGAGAUCAGAAUGAAGGACUGCAGGGUAUUAUACAUUUAGUUUUAUCAUUCCGACCAAUAGAAUCAUGCCCCCAAAUGGCAAAACAGAACAACAAAAUUAAAAAGAAGAAAUGAAGACAUACCCUUCAAUCAAGUAGAAGGAAACGAACCUAGAAAUUCGAAAUAGAGACCAACUCCCAGUGACUUUAAUCGGAACCUACAAAAAUAGAAAAAUAUUGAUAAGAACCGAUGCAAAAUCCAACAAACAGCUUAAUAAGAUUGGUCUUACAACUCGGUAUCUAUGAUCAAUUCCAAACAACAGAAAAUUUGUAGGUGAACUCUAAAAUCAAUUAAUCAUCCUUUCACAAUAUCAAAAUACAACAUGAUCGAAGAACUAUCUACUGGAGUAUAUAUUUAGCCAUUUCCUUCAUCCCUUUUAGUUAUUUAAAGACAUAAUUAUAACAAAACAGCACUUAAACAGGUUGAAAGAGAACACCCGGUUAUCUUAAUUCAUCACUAACAUAACUAUGUUGUCCUUUUCAGUACCUUUUAAUUAGAGGGAACAUAAUUGGAACAAAAAAGAAACCACAUUGAUAAAUCAGUAUGUUGAGCAGUUAUUUAGCUGCACAGAAAAAACAAUCUUGACUGAAAAGAGAAUAAUCAAAUUGAUUCUCUUAUUAUGCAGAUAAGUAGGCCAUCAUGAAAUUUCUAGCAGUAUGGAUUAUAUUAUUAUGCAUAGUACUCCUUCAGUCCUUCGUAUUAGUGUCUGAUCCAAAUCACAAAAAAACUACCUCCCAGAGUUUAGGACAACCUUAUUGCAUUCAUCAUGUACACAAUAUUCUGUAGUAAAAAAAAAAAAAAAACAUGCCAACUUCAAUUCACUUAAUCUAUAAACAUGGCCAUAUGUGUUUGAAAUUUUCUGAUCAUGACAACUCUAAUUUAAAAGAAAUUAAAGAUAGAAAAAACGCAAUGACACAUUUGGGAAUUGAGCAUUUUGGUCAGUUGGUCUAGCUGUCAUCUUUCUAUCCUCCAAUUUGUAUUUGCUAUUGGCCUUUUAUUCGUCUUAACAAAAAGAUGAUAUAGAAUUUCAAAUCGCUAGCAUGCCAUUUCCAACAGACUGAAAAUUAAUUUCCUAAUAGACAUUUCAAAACAUUUGAGACAACUCCAGUAGACAGGAAGAUAACAUAACUUUGUCUAAGAUAACAUAAUACUAACAUACGAUAAGACAAUUAAAAUGGUAUUCAUUUUUGUUUUCAUAUCGGUUAAUAGCGGCUUAUCAUUAAUUGUUUAUACCUAGACAUGAAGGUUCUAGGAAUUUCAAGUGUACAACUAAAAGCUACAAAGCCUGAUAGUUCUCAAAUUAUAGACUAUAAUGGCUCAUGACACUGAAGCUAGUUCCCCUUGAUCUAGUUCCAAGGAACUGGAAAUCUAUUUCAUACUCCAGCAAUGAUAGAAUGAGCUUUUCUGCCACAGUAUAACCCUAAGCUGUACAACUCACUACUUCAUAAGUAAUCGAUCGAAGAUUACUGUUGGAAAAGCCUGAAAUAAGAUACAGACCAUAGCUGAAAAAACCAAAAAAGCUCCGAUCUUUACACAAUCUAAACCCAAAAUCGACUUCUUUUUUGUAUGAUUAAUUGACAGAUCCCCCAGCACAGCAGAUGAAAAUCAAAACCAAACCCAAAAAAGCACAAACGCACAGGAAAAAGAAAAAGAAAAGAGGAGACAUACCAAAUGAGUAAAAGCAGAUGAGAACAACCGAGAAAGGAUAUCCAAAAUUGAAAGUGCGUCUCCGGCAACGGCUGCGAAGGGUUGGCUGUCCGAAGAGAUGAUGGCGUUGACUGGAAGAAGAGAAGAUGAUCUGCUCUGAGUUUGGGCUGUUCGGAUCUGAAUCGAGCUUUCCGGUCUCUUUCUUCCGCUCUCUUUCUUCUGCACUCUUCUUUUCUCUCUCACUUUCUCUUCUGUCUGGGUUUCUAGACUAUCUCUUCUGUCUGGGUUUUUCUAGAGUCUCUUCUGUCUGGAAUGGAGGCCUAACUCUUCUGUCUGGAAUGGAGGUCCAACUGUGUUAAGUGUUACAAACAGUAAUUAAGAACAGUGUUAUGAGCAGCGUUUUUAGUUGUUUACACAGUCGACAGAAAAUAUAUAUGGUAAAUAUCAUUGUACAAGGUUUUCUAUUGUUAACUUUCUACUCAUUAUCAAAUAUAUGCGUUCCUGUCGUUGAAGCCAGACUCAUAUUACUAUAUUUAUUCAAACAGGUUUGUCCAUCUCCAAUCUAAAUAUGAAAAUUUCGCAUAGCCUAAUGAUGCUAAAACAAUCUCUACACUUAGUGGCAUGUUGAUGGCAUUCAACUCAGCAAUUUGAAGAAGAAACUGACCAACUUAAAAACCUUGCCCUUUAUGCAUCUACCAGAAAUUAGAAUAGUAGAACCUUUUAAUACGCUUGCCUAAUACCCAAGUUACAAGGGAUACUAGAUCUUCCCACAAAGCUUCUUGUUAAAUAAUUUGAUCCAUUCUAAUAAAGAACUCACUAGCCAAACCCAGGAUUUCGUUCAUAUUGUUAUUUACACCAUGCCAGUAUCAAAGCCUCAAGGCUGUAACAGAAGACAGUCUUACCUUUCAUGUCACAGACAGCAGCAAGACUAUAAUCCAGUCCAGCCUCAGCAAUAUGCAAAUGACUAUUGAGCUUACUAGCUCUUAUCGACAGACCUGAAAAGGAUCCAAAGGAAGAAGUGCAUUGCCAUCGACUGUGUUUGCAUGGAGUCGAAAGAUGACAAAGCGGACAACACCAGAUGUUCACUUGGAAAAGGACUACACAUGACUGGUACUAGAUUUCAUCCUAAUCUUGAGGACCUAUCCUGUCUGCAGUAUACGCCUCACUGUAUGAAGGUUAGUUUAACAAAAACAACCCCCCGUUGAUUUAGUAGUUAGGCUACCUCGAAGAGCUUAAACCAUAGUGAGCUUUUGGAGCAUAUUCUGUUAUUGGCUGCUGCAACAAAAUACAAGAGCUUCCCUUUAAAUCAGGGGGGAGUAGGCAAACAGAAGUUACAGAAAGCAAACACCCAUGGAUUCAUAAUCCGUGCAUAGAGCACUACAACAAACCACUGAAGGAAACUACAAAGUUUAAUUAAACAGAGAAUUGCUUGAGGUCCAAGUGAGAAGCUGAUAGGUAGGCUCUACAAACAUAAAUGUAUAGCAACGACACCGAGCAGGCAAGAAAUCAGUCAGCCUUCUUAUCUGCCGGAGCUGAUUCCGAUUUAUUUAGUGCUGCUGAGCGCUUGUCCUCUGCAGUCUUGGAAUGAACUUCAUCCCCCUCCCGGAUGUACUUCUCAAAGGCCCUUGGAAGAAACCGAGGAAUCAAAAACCCGAACAGAUUGAGAGCGAAAUAUGAGAAGUUGGCCACAGCCAACGUCCUCCCAAACCAAAACCAUGCAACAUCCUGCCACCCAUAUUAAUAGUUAUCUUCAAUAGAUAAACACUGGGGAUAUUUUCUCAGCUGAAAUUUCUUUAGAAUCCGUAACAGAAGUAUGACAAUAUCACACAUCAGAUUAUAUUACUCCAACAUAUUAGGAUUUUGUUAGAUUCCAGAGCACAACAAAGAUGUUAAACAACUCAAAACAUCUCACAAUGAACUUUAACAUUACAGAAUGAAGAAUCAUCAAGUACCCGAAAACAAGUAGCAAUGGCUAAAUGUACGUACUAUGGGAUUAAGUACCUUGACAUGUGCAUUUGCAGGAAGAGUCUUGUUAAGCCAGACAUCAUUCACCCAAUCAAGGAUGACGAAGAUUCUCCUAACUGUGUAUAGCAACGGAACAAGCGCUCUAACUGGUGGCGAAAAUAGUGACAAACCGCUUAUGACAUUUUCAGUCAGAAUCUGAAAGGAGAGCAAGAACAAGUGAGGUGUUGCUGAGCGCACAGCGUGCUCAUCACCCCUUGCAAAACCACCCAACACAUAAGCCAGAGGCAAGAACAGUCCAACCGUAGUUCCCGCAAUCACAUACAGCCUGAAGAAUUUGCUUCCUUGGAAAAUCUCCUGCGAGCCAGAAGAGACGUGACCAUGUGAUGGGAAGGCCAAGCGUGACAAAACUAAGAGAUAGGCAGAGGCGAAAGCUGGGAAUAUCAAAUCAAGGAGCGGGACAAGGCCACUGGCUGAGAACACCAUGAUGAAUGCCACAAGCUGGAGCUCGAUUACGCGCAAUGACCCCAUGACACCUCCUACAGCCGGCUGCUGCUGCUGUUGGUGCAGUAGGCGUUGCGGCUUUUCUUGGUGUUUUGGUCCAGCAGUUGUGGUUUUAUCAGGCUCCGACCUAGGAGCCACAGCGACCGAUACGCCAGACAUUGUAGUUUGCUUCCUUGUAAAUCUCGGUAACUAAUUAAGGAGCUAUAUAAAGCUGGAUAGGAAAGAACCACUGGAUCAGUAUUCUUCAUAGAAAGCUUAACAUCUUAAAAUGCAACUAUUACUUUAUCUCUAUGUAUAAGUUAUCGAUCCAGAAACAAUCAAGAAAGCUUAACAUCUAAAAAUGCAAAUGCAAUGGUGACCAAAUGACAAGUGCAAUAGAUCAACGUUAAGAUGUAGAAAAGAGAACAAAUUUCAUUGAUAUAUAUAUAUAUAUAUAUAUAUAUAUAUAUAUAUAUAUAUCAAUCUGUAAAGAAUGGAAACUAAACUAUAAUCACCAUUCUUAUGACAUUCCGUGUAUCCUGAAGUAGUACCAUGAUUGAUUCAUCAUGAUAUGAGCAGAAGCAUGAUCUCAAGGUAAAGCUAAUUCAUGUAUAACACUUGGCAUGCAAACAAGAUGAAGAACCGAAGAAGGUUAGAGAGAGACCUUACAGAUGAAGAUGUGAGGAAGAAAGUAAGCAAAUGAUGAUGAUUCAUUCAAAACCAAAACCAGAGCGUCCGAAGAAGAAGACGAAUCGUGGGGGGCUAUAUAUAUUAAUCUAUGUUUUGAACGUGGAUUGCUGCGAGGGUUUACACUUGCCUCUCAAGCGACGUACGUGGAGGAGAUGUUGCUUCAACAUGUGUCAAGACGAGUCUUGCCGUUUUGAUCAGAAUCAAUCGGGAUCAGUCGAUCAGAUCGAACUAUUUUAAUUUGUUUUUCUGUUGUAAAAUAGUAAACAUAAAAAUUAAGUUACCGAAGAGUUAAAUUUCAUUAGUAUAAAGGAUGAGACAGCCUACUUGUGCCCUAGACUCCAAAAGCACAUGAAAACCCCGCCGCUCCAGUAACUUCCACGUACGGCUCCACCGCCGUCAUCAAACAAAUUAAAGCGCUACCGCCAAACGCAAACGAGGCAUGGACAAUGGCUCCCCAACUCAAAUCCUGAUCAGCCCUAGCUAGUACCACAUCAGAAAUAUCGGAGCAAUAAAAGAGAAAACGUUCUCGAUUAGGUUUACAAAGUUCUAUUAGUUCUCUAUAUAGUCUAUAUACUAGGAAUCGUUGUUGAUGGGAGGUAUUACGUAUUAGUUCUAUAUAUAGUCUCAUAUGAUCCCCACGAUCUAUAUCAACCUUUUAUUAAUUGUUCUCUCGGCCUCAUUAUAAGAUAUUGCAUACAGAAUUGUUGAGGAGAAGAUAAUUUAUCAGCGAUACUGCAGGUUUCUGGCUUAAUAAUUAAUAUAGAUAGAUAUUUAUAAAUAUACAUGUUUAUAGAUCAGUUUUAUUUAUAUUUGGUAUCAGACAAAUUUCAUAUAUUCCUUCGUGCUGUAGAAUAUAUCGUCGAUCCGAAUGGUUCACUAAGGGUUUGUUUAUUAUUUAUUUAUUUUUAAACAAAAAAAUGUUGGUUGAGUAGCUAGAUCGAUAGGGCUAAUUAAUCAAAGAAUUGAAAUUUGUUUAAUCCUUGUGGUUUAAAGUCGACAUAUGUUUAGUCAUUGUGGUUUUAUUUUAAUCUGAAUAGUCUUUAAAGUCACAAUUUUUCAUCUAAAUAGUCCUUAUGGUUUUAUUUUAAUUUAAGUAGUCCUUAAAGUCAUGAUUUUCAUCCAAAUAGUCAUUUCGACAAUUUUCUCAGUUAAAGGCCAUAAAGACUAUUUGGAUGAAAAAUCAUGACUUUAAGGAUUAUUCAGAUUAAAAUAAAACCAUAAGGACUAUUUGGAUGAAAAAUCGUGACUUUAAGGACUAUUUAGAUUAAAAUAAAAUUAUAAGGACUAAACAGAUGUCUACUUCAAACCACAAGGACUAUACAAUAUUUUACCCUUAACCAAACCUUAUAUCUCAUCAUAUGCUAUGCUAGGGCUAAAACUUUUUUGAAGAGAAUGCAGGUGAAGAGAGAAAGAGGCACGCGAGAAGUUGCCAAUAGAUCGAUUGAGUACUUUUGAAUCAUGAAGGCAUUGAUUAUAGUUAAGUGGUCAAAGAGAGAAGGCCUCUGGAGUUGGUUAAACCCUCUAAAGUUGUUAAAGAGAGUAAACUUUCACAGUUCGUUAAACCCUUUGAAGUUUAGGGUCCAAAAGUGGUUAAAAAGAGAACAAUUCCGAAGAUGGCUAAACCCUUUCAAGAUUUUAACGACAUAAAACUUUGAGAAGUGGUUAAACCCUUUAAAUCUUAGGGUUGGAAAGUGGUUAAAGAGAUAUCACUUAACUUUCAAAAGUUGUUAAACCCUUUGAAGUUUAGGGUCUCGAAGUGGCUAAAGAGACAAAAGUCACAUAAUAGAGAGGCUUUAUGACUUAAAUUUUUCUGAUGACUCGAAACAUAUGAAUUGGUUGUCUCCUUUAAAAAAUUCUAGUAUACUAUAUGGUAUAACAUGUCUCACAAAAUGUGUGACUAUCAUUAUCAUUGAUUGAAGAAGCAACUAAAUGACCAUGUAAUGACCUUUUACCCCUUCAAAAACCCUCAUGUGUCAUAUAAUUAGACACAUUUGCAAUAUGUAUAUCAUACCAUAUGAUAUGAUAGACAAACCCGUCUCUUUUUAUGUUUUUCAGGUUACGUGUCGACAUAUUAGGGUGUACCACAUCAAACCACAACAUGCAAAAAACAUGAGGAAAUGCUGCAACGAAGUGAAAGGUACGUAUGUACAAACGUGUAUAUUUUUUGAAUGAAGUCGUGUAAAUCUUUCGAUCUUAUCGAACUAUCUUGUCUCUCGUCUUAGGAGUCGAAACAAUUGAGUUUGUGGAUGAGGAGAAGAAAUAACUGAUAGUGAAAGGAUGGUUUGAACUUGAUGAUCUUCGCUAUCGACUCCUUAGUCGGAUUUACGAUAGGGCAACUAUUAGUCGCAAGAUCCGUGAGGAACACAUAGCAUCUAAUAUGACCUGUGUGUGAUUUUCGUGGUAAAUUUUAGGCUUAUUGAGUUUGUAAGAGCACCAAGUCCACGGGAACCAAACACAUAAGAGAACCUGUAGGUGGUUGAUUUGAGCAAGGAGCUCGAGGCCAAGUCGACGAAUUAAGACGACUGCAAGUUACAAAUAAUUAAGAAUAAAAGUUUAUUAAAGAAUGGGUUUGUUACCAAAAGCUUUUGCUUUUUAGUUUCGAAUUCAUGUUCCUAGUUUCUUCCAUAUAUACGUGAAUGAUUAAAAAUUUCUCGAGGUCUUUUUGCUAAUUUCAGUAAAUUUGACGCGAUGAUCCAUCUUUUCUUAUUUCAUAUAUUAAGCUAGAAAUCUGAACCCCAGAUUUACUGACGUUGUAUCUCAAAGACCUUGAAGUAAAAGCUUCCCAGGUAAGUAUGUAACAUAUCGAAUCCAAGGUAGUAAAUGUAUUUCAAUUAAGGGAGUUCUUCAAAUUGCAGUUCACCCCUAAUGGUUGAUAAAUAUAAAUCUCUAUUGAUCUUGAAACACCUAUGCAAAUAAUAGUAUAGACGUGCAACUUUUUUUUCUUUUUGAGAGGAAGAAAAUAAAUCUAUUAUCAAAGAUGACGAUCAAUAGGUCUAGCAUAAAUAGUCCAAAUACCAUACAACAGCAAAGCAAAGCUAAAUCAAACUGGUCUAUGAAUUGAAAAAACAACGACAAAACUACAUAAGAAAAGGUGGAGAUGAAUCACUAGAAAGCAAAAUAACCUUCCAAAAAUCUAUUAACUACUCCACUCUCAACGAAUCAGGCCUAAGACCUCACAACGGUGUACCUUUCAUCGGUGAGAAGAGAGAGAGUAGUCGCUAGGGUUUGGAAGGGGUCUUUCCUAGGUACCCUAGGAUUACUACUCCUCAGCCUCAAAACCAAGGCCGCCACCAUCAAUCCCUCUAAAACCCGAUGAACUAGGUGCCAUUGAAUCUGAUCCCACCGACGCUUCACCAAACAACAGAGUCUUCUUGUUUCGACUGCCACGAGGACGUCUUAUCUUCUUGGGAGAUUUGCCAAUCCUCUUGAUUCCAAGAACUCCAUCCAACAUAGAAAAACCCAUCUCCGGAUCCAAAUCUACAAGAACCAUAGCAAAGGAAUGCUUCAUUCUUUUUCCCUCACCAGAAUUAUCAUCCUCUCUACCGCUCCUCACCCCAGUUAUCUUAGUAGGUGAUGGAAAGUCAAGGACAUCCCUUAUCGACACCACUCUCUUCUCAUUAGGCAAAAUCACAGCCGGAACAGAAAAGGUAGGUUGGUUGGUCACAACGGCCCUAAAGACCAUUGGCGGCGUUGUUGGCGGAGGAACCUGCACUGGAUUAGCGUCCACAAGACUAGGGCAACGAAGCCCCACAUGAUUAAUCAUCAUACAAGCUCUACACAUUCCAAGAAGACGUUCAUACCUGAAUCAGACCAAAAUGACAUCAGUUGGAGAAACCCGCCGCCUUUCCAAUCUCACAAGAACGUUCAGUGGUAGAUAUACCCUAACCCGCAUGGUUCCUUGGCUUAUUCCAUGUUCAUCAAUCCUCAACACAGGUCCAAUGGUCUCUCCCACCACCUGAGCAGUGGUUGUAGUUGUGAGCGCAGCUAAGGGGUCUUGGAUCUCCACCAAAAUCCAUAUGAAGUUCAACGGCACGGCCAUAAGGUCAGAAAAGUCAUCAUAAUCGUUCAGCAAGAGCAUUGUACGCUGGAAGCACUAGGGUCCUCCUCUUUUCACCCAAGCCACAUCUUUCUCGUUCGUAAACGUGAAGAGAAAGCGGUCUCCUCUUGCUUGGAUCUCUACCAGAGUCGUUAAACUCCACAUAGCACGGACGGCGCUGCAGAAUGAAUCGAAUUGCAUAGCUUUGGUGGUGUUGAGGCGCCCUACCAACUAAAAACAUGGAGCAACAAAACCCUUCGAAGGACAUCUUAACGUUAACUUUGAACCUAUUAAACCAAAAGUAAAGAAACGUAACACAUGAUAAAACAUUGAGGAUUUCCAUGUAAUUUACUUUCCUUUUUGAAAAAAAAAAUUGCAGAUAUAUGCAACAAAAGAACCAAAGAAAAAAUGAUGAGCAGUAGAAGCAUAGUCUAAUCUACAUUCUACAAUAAUGCAACAAUGAUCUAAAUAAGGUCUACGUACAUUAACUAAAGUGACAAAAUAUAUAAAUGGUUACAAAUUAAUGCUCAACUUGUUAAUUUUAAAACCUUAAAAAACUAGAAAAACCGAAAAAAGGUGCUCAAAAAGUUCAAAUGAGCAAAAGCUAACUCAUAGCCAAAACAAAGACACAUCAACAAACAACACCCACCACUUAAGACCCAAAUGGGGUACAACACUAAGAAAAAGGAAGCUACCCUCGACACCUUCAUAGCAAACUAGGGUUCCAUCACAUCGCCGGAAACCUCCUAAUGAACUAUGGUUCUGGCCUCUUGAAGAAGUUUUUUGCCAUUAAUGCCACAUGCAUCGGAUGAUCCUGUGAUGCUCUUUGAAUUGUUUCUCCGGCCUCGAGGGCGGCCUCUGUUCUUGUAAACCUUUGGGGCAUCACGAACAACAAUCUCGACCAGACCAUCCUCUACAAUAGCCACCCUAUGUGAUUUCUAUAAUACAUCCUAUCAAUUGCACUUCUAUUCCAAAUCUAAUAUUAGGUAAAGAAUUAAUCGUCUACGUGUGACAGUUACCCUAUUUUCAAAAGCACUUCAUCUGUACAUGCAUAUGCACUUCAUCUCUUUGAUGGUUAUAGGAGGGCAAUCAUAUUUGCAUCCAUGGUUGUCAAUCAUCAAUAAUAUUAUUCAGAUUUGUCUUAUCUGUUACUUUGUAAUUUGUAAACUUAUUUCAUUAAAAAGUUUGUAGUAAUUUGAUGAAUCGUGGCUUGAGGGCAGCCGUACCUGCCUUUAUUUUUUAUUUAAGUAAAGUUUGCAGUAGUUUUCAUUUCUCAUUUCUUAUAUGUUAUGUACAUUAACGAGAAGUAGUCUAUUCCCAUGGCUAUAUAUGUCUUAUAUGACAGUGCUCAAGAUUACUACCAUAAUCUCCAAUUUCUGAUUUUUAGUACAGAUGAUUAUCUUUUUUCCUUUUGGAUCCUAAUAAUGCAAAAUUUUAUAUCAAGUUUAGAUGUACUCUAGAGAACACCUAACUAACUCCAAAUCAUUUGCUAUACGUAAUAUUAUUGCAUACAGAAAUUAAAACUUGCAGCUAGGACUUUUUAAAGAAAAGAAAAAAGAACAACGAAAAAGAAAAAGAAGAAAAGAAAGACCUAUACAGUGAACCGGUACCUGAGCCCGUUUGCCAAGCCUCGAAAAACUCAUCCCCAAAUCUCAUGAACCCUAAAAUUUCCAGAUAUCCAAUCUCCCUCUUCCAAUUACGUUGUUGAUUCGCAUAUUCCCAGAAAAAUCAUCCCCAAUUGCGGAGCAACCUACUUCGAUCAACUCUUCGGCGGUGAUCAAGUGGGUGGCUGCUCGAUUCCGAUGGUCAUUUUCGGAUUCGAAGCUGCGUUUCAUUUUUGAUUUGCUAGGUUUUCACGACGGCGAUGAACUGGGUUGCUCGCUCGCAGUCGUAUUAGCUAAUUCAAUUGGUUGUUUUGAUUGAUGGACACAAAAUUGAGUGAUCAUUUUUCAAGUUCAUAGUUUCUUUUACUCUUGAUUCACACAAGAAUUCAAUUUAAAGCUCUCUGCAAAUCUUGAUGGUUGUUCUUAUUGUAGUUUGUUGUUUUGAUACUCUUGAUCGCCUGGGGUUUGUUUUUACUCUAGUUUGUUGUUUUCAUAGGCAUAGGAUGUGGAAACCAUUAGUGAUCAUUGCCACAGUGAAUGCUAGGCUAAAGGAUUACGUCCUCUGAUGGGUGUGAGGGAUAAAGUCGAGCGUGCAUAGAUGGAAGUGUAGCUAACUUUGGUGUCUUUGAAGGACGCAGAUGUUAAUGGAGAAGAUGCCCUACGUGUUUUAGUCCUUCAGAUCAUGGAUGUUGUUCAGAAACUAAAGGACGAGAUCGAAACAUUUGGUUUGACUGUGGCAUCGAGGAGGAGACCAAGGUUCAAGAGCAUAGUGAGAAGAUUUGCGUGCAUUUUUAUGGAAGGGUAUCAUCUCUUAAAUGCUGGGAGAAAGAUUGAUAGGACUACUAACAAAUUGGCCAAUUUGAGGAGCAUUUCCACAUGUAUGCAGUGAUCUCAGAGAAGAAGGAUGCCACCAGUUAUGAUCCUUGUUUGAAAGAGCAGUUGAGGAGAACAUACUCUCAUGUAUUGGACAGAGAUCUUGUGGGGUUAGAGGCGCAAACAAAGGAAAUCAUAAGGGUUUUGGUUGACCAAGGGAGUGAGCGUAAGGUGAUUAUAAUUUGGGGUAUGGCGGGUUUAGGGAAAACGACCCUUGUUACGCAUGUUUACCAUCAGUAUCAGUCUAGAGUUACAUAUCGUUUCCGUAGGUCGGCAUGGGUUUGUGUUUCCCCACACUCGUCAAUAUUGUCAGAGAGAUUUGGGAUCAAAUAUAUGACAAACUCCUUUCUCCAACUAAAAGGGAAAGAGAAGAGAAUUCAAAUAUGAGGGAUGAUGAUAUUGCCAAGAAGCUCUAUUCCCUUAUGCAAAAUAGAGGUGCAUCAUACCUCAUUGUUCUAGAUGACAUGAGGAGUACUGAUGCGUGGGAUAGAUUAAAGCCUACAUUCCCUCUUGAAAACUCUAAAGUGAGGCUGCUAAUCACUAGUCGAAAUGAAGCUCUUUGCCACAUUUGGGGAGUUGAUGGAGACAAAAAAACCCUACAAAAAAUCUUCUCACGAUGUUUUUGAACCCUAGUCUCCUCCUUGAUGCCACAUUCAAACCGUAUGUUUCGAUGUCAUCCUCUAGUUUUUGAGCAACAUCCAUCAUUUGAAGGAUCUAAAACACAUAAGGUGUCUUCUUCAUUAACAUAUGUGCCCUUUAAAAACGCCAAAGUCAGCUGCAGUUCCAUAUGUGCAUGCUCGAUUUUAUUUCUCACACCCAUCAAAUACACAGAUCAUUCGAGGAGGUAAUCCUUGAGCCUAGCACUCAUUGUGGCAAUGAUCACUAAUGGUUUCCAUAUCUUAUGCCAAUAAAAACAACAAACUACAAUAAAAACCACCCCCAAGCGAUCAAGAGUAUCAAAACAACAAACUACAGUAAGAACAACCAUCAAGAUUUGCAGAGAACUUUGAAUUGAAUUCUUGUGCGAAUCAAGAGUAAAAGAAACUAUGAACUUGAAAAAUGAUCACUCAAUUAUGAGUCUAUUGAUCAAAACAAACAAUUGGACUAGCUAAUACGAUUGCGAGCGAGCAACCUAGUUCAUCACCGUCUAGCAAAUCAAGAAUGAAACGCAACUUCGAAUCCGAAAAUGACCACCGAAAUCGAGCAGCCACGCACUCGAUUGCAGUGAAGAGUUGGUCAAAGUAGGUUGCUCCGCAAUUGGGGAUGAGUUUUCCGGGAAUAUGCAAAUCAACAACGUAAUCGGAAGAGGGAGAUUGGAUAUCUGGAAAUUUUAUAGUUCAUGAGAUUUGGGGUUGAGUUGUACACCAUAUGGGUCUUAAGCGACAAUAAAAUUAAGGGAGUUCUUCAAAGUGUUGGGUGUUGUUUGUUGAUGUGUUUUUGUUUUGGCUUUGAGUUAGUUUUUUGCUCAUUUAAACUUUUUGAGCACAUUUUUUCGGUUUUUUUAGUUUUUUCUAUGUUUUAAAAUUAACAAGUUGAGCAUUAAUUUGUAACCAUUUAUAUAUUUUAUCACUUCAGUCAAUGUUCGUAAACCUUAUUUAGAUUAUAUUGUAGAAUGUAGAUUAGAAUAUACAUAUAUUUAUAUGUUAAUUCUAGUGCUCAUCAUUUUUUCUUUCGUUCUUUUGUUGCAUAUAUCUGCAAUAUAUAUAUAUUUUUUAAAGGAAGGUAAAUUACAUGGGAAUCCUCAAUGUUUUAUCAUGUGUUACGUUUCUUUACUUUUGGUUUAAAAUGUUCAAAGUUAAUGUUAAGUUGCACGUCUUUACAUGUAUUUUUUUGAGGAAAAAAUAGUGACCCAUUGUUAAAUUCGUCUGUAUAUGUGUCACGGGCCGACUUUGCGAGGGUGCAAAGAGGACCGUGCGGCACUCGCUAGCCUUUGAAAGGUAGCAAGUCAGCCUUGUGCGCACCUUGCAAGGAACAAUGGAAACCACACGAUAUUAAUAUGAUGCUAGCAACAAGCAAGAACACAGUUUUAUAUAAUUGUGGAGCGAGCUCAAAGAGCGAGCGGCACUCGAAUAAAAAGUUGAAAUGAUCUCAUGGGACACAGAUGAUUGAAUAAUUCCUCUCUUUAUUGAUGGUAAGACGUUAGUAGGGGCUAAAGUAUAUGUGCUUACCUAUACUAGUUCCUUAGUCCAACCGUCGCCGACUAGGAACUCCCCUACAAAGAGCAUAUCGGCCAAAUUCUCACUUGGCUGUGAGAAACAUCAAAAAGCCAAGGAGGGCCAAGCUAAAUAAAAUAAAAUACAAGGAAAAUAGAAAUUACAAUAAUGCCACUUGCACACAAGCAACCAACUAUGGGCUUGACUCAUGACCCUGGGCAAGGUUGCUUGUGGCAUUACAUGUCUUGGCCCUGACAAUAUGCUUACAUUUGUUUGACAACAACGUUACAUAGAUGCAACUGUUUUGAAAAAAAGAAAAACAAAGCGAAGAAGUAAAAGUCUAAAACCAGGAAAGUGAUUAACGUUAUAGGACGUGCGGUCGUCGGAGCUUCCACCCAAAGCAGAAACACAGACCAAAAUGAAAUCCCAUACUAAAAUCUUCAGUCUCUACUCUCCGCCUUGCAUUCUCAGCAACACUCAAGCUUUCCUGAACACUGCUCGGAGUUGGGUCAUUUGUCCUCUGCAUCGGGUUCGAGUCGUUCGACCCAUCAUUUUUACCACCACGACGUACUUCACCGUCGAUUCCAUACUAAUUGUUCAUAGAGAGCAUUGGAAAUCAUUUGAUAGGAUCAAGAAAUGUCCGGCUUACAUGAAAGUGAACUUAGGUUUGUAUAACAAAAUAUGAAUCUGAUCACUCGGCUCACUCGAGUGUUUGGCACUGUUGUGAAGCCAAAUCAACUUGGUGGUAAACUUGAAGAAGCAUAGAAUUCGAUCUACAACAAAAUCAACCUUGAGAUGGAUAUGCCGGUAACGUAGGAAUUUAGAAAGAUGAGGCUAGCCACAAUAUGUCUUUAACAAGGGACUUCAAACACCGAGUAGUGGAUUUUCCCAAUAAGCAGACAUUGAGCACCUUGGGAUCGCCUUAACUGGUGAUAACUUGAUUGAAAUGUUGAAGAGAAGCGAAAUGAAGUCCUUCAUGUAAAACAGUCACUUCAACAUUCAAAACACAAGUGUCUUUGAAACAAGACAGAAGAUGGUCGGGCAUACCAAAGAGAAAGGGUUGCUUACAUGAAGGGAGUUGUCUCUGUCUUUCCGACCAGAAACAUCCAGCUUCAAACAACAAACUCUUGGGACUUCCUUGGUUUCAAUUAGAAAAUCCAUCGAAAUGCCACUGUUGAGAGUGAAAUUAAUCAUUAUUGGUGUCAUUGACAGUGGAAUUUGGCUUGAGUAAGAGUGAUUUCUAUUACGCCGGAAUUCUAUUCCAGUAAGUAAACGUGCCCUUAAUGGGACGAAAGAAUUCAAAUUCAAUUUGAUUCAUAGUGAGUCACUAACUGCAAUCUCACCGAGAAUAGUAAGUACGUAAACAAACCAGUGAAGUUUUUGAAGGUAUACAGUCCUUGAACUCGUCAAAUGCGCACCUUACAAGGAAAUCAUUAGCAACAUGACCCUGCCUGGUGCUUCGGUUACUCCACAAUAUUGAAAACCUUCAAAAAGAAACAUUUAAGCACCAAAUCAGCAGGAAGUUAAACACAAGGUCUAAGCAAGAUAAUCACCUAGUAACUUGUAUCCCGGCAGUAGAUUUACCAACCAGACACCAGCACUCCUUUACCCUUAUCGAUUUGAGUUCUUUCUAAUUUGCCACUGCUAGUCCCCCAUUAACAAUCUUGAUGCUAGUACCAGAUGAUUCAGUCUCACCGACAACGUAAGGCGUAUUUUCUCCUUUGUAAUCUUCAGACAACGAGAUCUUGCAGCGCAUAGUGGUGUAGUGUUAAACUCUUGCUCAUCAUGUCGAUAUAGAGAGUCCACAUUAAUUUGAGCACCCCCAAGCCUUAAUGAUCACUUGCAUUUGAAGCCCCAGGUUAGUGCAGUCAUUCGACUGAUGAUCCAAACUCGAUCGGUGCACCUUCGUGGUAUGAAUGUGGACACCCAUACGAAACCUUCUAGAUGCAACCAUUUGAAUAUUUUAUUUUUGGUAAUGCAGGAAUGAAAAAUGUCCGUACUACUCCCAUCAGUUUCCAAAUAACAUGCAACGUGGUGAUCAAGUUUUCCAGAAUCCAAAAGAUCAAGACUGGCAUUCGAUGGGACGAGAACUGAAAAGUAUGCAACAAGAGCCAGUCCUAUCUAUUGUAUUCUUGUAUAGAUUUGAUGGUAGCGGGAUUUGAUGGUAUAGAACUGAAAAGUAUGCAACAAGAGCCGACUAUCUAUGAUUCCCGAACCACUUUACAAUAUCACUUGGAGGGAAACAAGAAUGGUAUGUCAAGUCACGGCCGAAGUCCCUAUCCCUGCUACCAUUUCUACUAUUGGUUUCUCCACCAUGAUUAUCGGGCAGUGUUCUACUAGUUCUCUCUGCCUUAUGGUCUUGCUUCUCCUAAAGAUAAAUAAGUGGUCUCGCAAAGCAUUAAGGUCUGCUUAAGCUCUUCAUCGUGCGGAUACACAAGGCAAAACACACACUUAUCCACACCAAAUGCUCCAUAACAACUUACAAUUGAAGCCUCCAGGCAACCACAUUCAUUCAGCUGAUUCGAAAACCAUGUUUCGCGGUAUAUAGGAGAGCCACAUAAACCAUCCACCGGAAUUCUUUUGUUGGUGGCGCGAUAGUCAUGGACAGAUUCCAGACUAUCUCCAUCAUCCUUUUCCAAGCGACAUGAAGGUGGUGAGGAGUCCUGGAUCCACAUUAUUGGUGAAGUUGGCAAUACUAUUCUCCAGAGCUGCAAAGGAUGCACGAAAUGCCAAUCCUAUCCAAUUAGCGUCUCUAUAUAGAUCUGGUGGAAGCAGGAUUGUUAUUGAGGGGCCAUUGCUUUGAAUGUCAAACCAUUCUACAAUCUCCUUGGUGAGCUACGGUCAAACUCUUGAACAAGGGAUACAAAUCAAACAUGGUGUCCGGGAGGGAGAAGAGACCAAAGACUAAUUAUUAAUCUUUUUUACCUGGAGCUGAUUCUGAUACAGAAGUAUGUUCUCGGGGGGAUCAAAGUCCUGUUUUUGCAAACCCUCAUUAACAAUUUGUGCAAGCAUUUUUCUACAGAGCUGAUGCUGAUCCAAGAGAUGAUUUGGAUAUAGCGAUCAAAGCCCUGUUGUUGAGAACCCCCAAAAGAGCUUGUAGUGCUAAAAGAAUGUCUCUCACCUUCAAUGAAUUGACGAAUAUGAUCCUCAUUGUAGUCAUAAAGAAAGUGAAGCAUUUCACUGUUGCUUUCUGUAAUUUUUGCACCUCUUGUAUAUAGGAUAGGGAAGCCACAUUACUUUACAACCAAGGUUGGGGAAUCACUCUUAAAUGAAACCCCUAACUCAGGUAGUUCACUCAACUGAUCCGUAAAAAUAGUGACUCGGUAAAACCGUAUAACCACAUGAAUUUGUUCCUAGGACUAGUUCCCAGAUAUUUCAGGGCUCAAAUGCAAAAUGCAAACAAGUCUGGGAUGGUGUCCUGAAUCCAGAUAUUUGAGGUUCAAGGACAUCCGCUUGAGAUGGCUCAACUGAAAAGGCAGCACACACAACAAACCCCAGGAAAUCCUCAUCAUUAACAAUAUUCGUAGGAUGAAGACAGCAGUGUCAGAAAAGAUUGUUGUUCAGUGAACCACUCCAGAAUUUCCAUUUAUAGAAAAUACCAGAAUGCGGUCCAUGAUGUUUUGAGUAUGAGAUUAUGCUCCCAUAGAGCAGUAUGCCAGUACAGUGACCGAUAGUUGAACAGGAAGCCUAAAGAGAAAUUGAAGCAAAACCUCAUGGUUUCUUACUGAAUAUUUUUUUCUCGGUGGAUUGAAUGGAGUUUCAGAAAGUAUCAUGAACUGAAUCUAUUGAAGUAUUCCGCAAAUUUGGAAGCAUCCUGCCACAAUCAAAAGGAAAUAUUAAAAAAAAAAUUAUAGCCAGCAUACAUUAUUUAGGCAAAAAAAUUAUAUGUAUGACAAUAACAUUGGCCACAAAGAAAAUAAAUGUCUGAAGUUUUGGAGUAUUGUUAGAGUUAAUGGUACCUGCUUUUGCUUGUUGAAGCAAACUUUACUCCAUGGUCAAAUGUAUGCCUAUCUUAUUCUCUUCCAACAUAACUGUUUUGUCAUCUUGUCUGAACCAAGCAAAUGUACUGCUUAGAGCGAAAUGAGUAAUGGUUCGAAAUAAGCCAUUCAAACCUUGCGCAUAUAUCAGGCACAUCCCAGACAUUUGAAUCUCCACACCAGACCACAGACAUGCAUGACACGUUCUCGAUCAAAUCAGUAACAGUAAUAAUAAUUGAGUGAUUUUGUGUGUAGCAGAAGGAUACAUACGUACCUCAAAUAUUUCUUCAAGCAGCAAUGCCUCUGCCUUUGUUCUCAAUCUAUGACCUUCCAUCCUGGUUGAACUUAAAUCUCUGAAAAUCUAGAGUUCAAUUUCAAUUAAGAAACUUGUUUCUGAAGCAAAAUGAUAAACUUGUUCAUUUGACUGAUCAGUACACUUGCUCAAUGGUGGAUUUCCAUAUGCCUUACUUGCUCUUGUUCCAGAGGCGAACCAGAGUCCCAAUAAAUUUUGGCACGUCUUCCCAGUACAAUAGCCUCGCACUACAUGCCACCACCUUCACCUUGUUCUUUUGAUGUAGAUUUUAGCUUCAAUGGACCGUUUGUUAAACCUUUUUGAGAAAUCAUCUGCUGGUGCAUAAAGCACCUGUUGACAUGUUCCACCACCAUCGCAAUCUGCAAGAGGAUACUUUACGAGAGGAUCGUCACCAUUUGUGAAGAUGCCACACGGCCCACAACUGUAGUGGAAAUUUUCCAAUUGAGGAUAUUCUUUUGAAUCCACUCUGUCAUGCACCUCCAAUUCAGUUAACAAACAAAUCCAUUUGUGAAGAUUCCACAACUUUUGAAAACCAAUCCACUGACAUUUCCCAUCCAAAUCCUAAGGUACUGGGAUUUUUAUUAAAGCAACAUCUGUUUCAGCCCCGAAGAAACAUUGAAAAACACCACCUUGAGAAAUGAUCUCCUGAAGAAAGAACAUGAAGAGAAAAUUGAGAGAGAGAGAGAGAGAGAGAGAGAGAGAGAGAGAGUUUGCUGCUCAAGGUGUGGAUCCGAUGUUGGAAUGGGAUAACUUUUGUUCACUUUGCAAUUUACAAAGCUAAAUCCCAAGUCAGUUGAAAUCCGCACUGAUUUUCUACAUUUUUCUUCCAGGAGAGGACAAUUAUCUGAAUAAUUAAGACCUCGUAUACUUAUUGGAAGCAAUGUCAGCAAUGAUUUAGGUUGCUAAAAUCAUUUAGCAGAAGGUCUUCAAGCUGAUAAAGCUGGGAAAUGGUUUGGGGUGAUGUCUCAAAGUUGUUUCCACUUAAAUCCAGAUACUUCAACCACGAUAUGUAGCGAAUUUCAUCAGGGAUUGCUCCUUCAGACAGAUUACAAUCGCUUGAAAUUAAUUCUCUCAAGGAGCAUAAACCAGAGAACGGAGCACAACUGCAAACCACUGGAAUUGUUGGCUGCUGAAUCUGAUGGCAAGAAGCAAGAAUUCAAAGUUGGCAAACACCAUGAACUGCAUUCAGCAGGCAAAUCUCGACAUCCGACGCAAGAUAGUUCUGUAAGAUUUUUCAGCAAUUGAAUGGAGGAAGGUACCUGCUUUAUACCACUUCCACUUAUGUCAAGCACCUUCAAACACACUAGGCUCCCCAUGUUAUCUGGCAAUUGACGUAGAUUUGAGAGUGAUGCACACAUACAAAUGACAUCAGAAAGACUCCGCAGGAGCUUGCAGUCUUUUAUUUUGAGCAAAGAACGGCUGGUCAAAUGCUUAUUAAUGUAGCUGUCCCAUCUAAAUGAAGUUUCAGUAAGUAUUCCAUGUUUUCUCCAAUUUUCGGAGACCUUUUCAGUUUGGAACCACCCUAAAAGAAUGAAAGUCAUGAGAGAUCCUGACAUGAUACUGGGGGGAAGAGUGGUAAGAGAUUCACAACCAUGUAUAUUCAAAGAAAUUAGCUUAAGAUCUCCAAUUGAUGGGUGAAUAUCAGACUAUUUUACAACCUUUAAGGAUUCUCCAGCUUCGGGACUGUACUGAAUUCAAGGGUCCUUGUUAAGAAUUCACAGUCACUAAGGUCUACGAUUGCCAACAUUUCCAAAGGCUAAACAAAUUAAACAAAAUUAACAGACAUUUCAUAAGAGGAAGCCUCUCCAGCCUCGGGGUUCUACUGAAGUUAAGGGCCCUGGUUAAGAAUUCACAGUCCUUGAAGUUCUAUAAUUACCAACAUUUGCAAAGGCUGUAAACAAAUGAAACAAAAUUAACACAAAAUUCAUAAAAGGCAGCAAAAUUGUCAUUUUUCUCAAACUUGAAAAUUAUUAGUCUUGUUUCGUGUUCUUUGGCAUAACCCCUUGUUUACUUUCUUUAUUUCACUAAUAAGUUUCCUUCUAUAUAUUAGUCUGAGGUAUCUUGAAUACAUACGAAAUACACCUGAUGUGAGAGUGAAAAUUCCUUACCUGCUUGAUAUUUUCCUCCCAUAAUCGCUCAAUGUGGCAUUGAGGCAAGUGCAAUUUGAUCAGUUUAUCUGGUCAUAAACUUUAAUAGAUAUCUAUGCCACUGGAAGAAGCUUAAUUUAUCCAAAAGAGUGAACUCAAGGAAUCUAGAUAAUAUGAUUCUUAAUCUUCAGCAAUCUUAGGUAGCACAUCUCUGAGAUUGGGUAUGCCUUCAAGUUAUAGUAGUAUAUGGGUGUUUACAUGUAUUGUUUCUAUUAGGUCUCCAAUCAAAGUUCCUUAUGAUGUUUUAAGAAAAACAAAAAGAAAAGUAAAACUAAUUAUUAAACAAAAGUUCAAAACAAUGAAAUAACUAAAAUCAAACUAAUUACUUCAUUACCUUAUUGUUCUGAAGGACAGGAAUGACAUCUGUAUGUGAUCCCACAACCUGCUGUGUUCCCAUAUCAUUAGCUGGACAAUUCGUUGUAGUAAAUCGUGCAUCCACAAUUACAUCCUACAUUGGAUAUCAGGGAUUUUUCAAGAAGGCUUGGUAUACAACACUCUGGAUAGUGGCCACAACAUCUAAAUAUCCUUCUUACAGCACUUUGAUUUUCUCCUUUGAAGAAUCAAGCAAUAUCCAAAUAUAUCUCCUUCACUGCCAUGUCUGAUCCAUAAAAACCUAGUUUUAAAAUAUUGAAUAUCUUUUCUGGACCAGAAAAGUUGCUAUGUCUUAAUUUUUUUCAGUUCAUCAGACCAUUUUGUUUUAAACAGACCAGUCUUUUGCAUUUCUGUGGUAUAGGUAUGGACCUAAAACUACGACACCCAGAGGUAGACCUUUAGCAUAAUCAGUAAAACUGUAACACAACUAAAGAAAAUUAUCAACAAGAUGGUCUUUCUUAAAGGCUUUCAGACAGAAAAGGAGAAGAGACUCACUUUCACUAAGCUUUUCAACCUUGUGUAUUUUGGACCCAUAAUUCUCCAACAAGUUUUCAUCUCUUGUGGUUAUACUGAUUCUACCACCUGCAUUUCACCAGAGCCCUCUCCAACUAGGUCUACUAUAUGUUCCAACUCCUUCACAUCAUCAAGAAUGAUAAGCACCCUUUUGUUACACAAUCUCUGCCUCACAUUGUUGACAAUUACCGUGAUUACUUUGGUCUUCAACGUAAAGUCAUCAUAAAGUUGUUUCUGGAGAUGGAACAAACCUUUCUUUUCAUAGACCUCUCCAAUAUUAGCAACGAAAUUGGUAGCUUCAUAUUCUUGUGAAUAUUUAAAAAAAAAAUAAAAAAAAACCCAAACUUGUGCCAUCUAACCAAUUCCAGGCAUCCCACAAAUGGCAGUCACACGAAGUUCAUCCAACUUUCCUACACCUAGGUCUGAUUCAAUUUCCCUUGCUCUAUGCAUCCCACCAAUAUUUUGGAGUGACAGGUAGGGGGUGUGAGAUUCAAAUGACUAGAAACAUGUUCCACGAUUCUUCAACGACCUUUGUCUCGUGCCUGCAAAAAGGUGUAACACAUCAGGAAAAACAUAAAUAAUUCUCAGGGACUUAUUUUUUCAGAAAA